rnacentral:lncRNA from 1 species
UCCACUCCUUUCUUUCUCUCCUCUCUCUCUCUAUUAUAUAAACACUCCCACCUUUCUCUUUCUCCGCUGCCAAACCUUCCAUUCCUUUUUCUCACUUACUAUUCUUUCUUUCUUUCUUUCUUUCAAAACCCUACUUUCUUCUCUCUCUUUUUUUUGGAAGCUACCAAUGGCCGCCGUCUCUAAGGUUUCUUUCAUGGCUCUUGUUGCCGUUUUGUUCGCCGUCCUCUCCGUUGCUGUUGCACAAUCUGCAGAGUCUCCUGCUCCCCCUCCGGCUUCUCCGGCUAACUCUGUCGUUCCUUCCUUGAGCUUUGCUUGUGUUGGUGCUUUCCUUGCUCUUCUCUUUGGAUCUGCACUCAAGGCUUGAAUCUCACAUUCAUGAUACUUCUUCCUACGCGUUUUGUGAUUUUACCCAUGGAUUCGGUUACUGAUGAUACUCCAUUAUUGAGGGUUUUAUUGACUAUAUUAUUGAGUGUAUAGGACAUGGUUUUCGACGAUGUCAAGAUUUAGCUUUUAUUAGAUAUUGGUGGUUUGUAUUCAUGUAUUAUUAUCAUUAUUAUUAUUCAUUGUGUGUUAUUUCUCAUUAUUAAUAUUGUUCUUUUUAUAUCUCCACAUUAUUUGAGUAAAUAAAUUAUUUCAGUUUUCUAAACUCUCUGUUUCGUGAGAUUGAUUGAUCAACAUCUCUAUUCUCUCUUCACUCCAAAUUGUUUAUAAACUGUAUCAAUACUUGUGUAUAAUCGGGAAGCGGAAAUGAAGCUAGAGAGAUUCCGUCUUCACUUCCUAAACCAUUCCGUCCAAACAAGAUUUUAACUUCACAGUUCAAAAUUUGAAAUUCCAACAAAAACAACCAUCGGGAUGGCUGUGUUUGGUAAUACUAGAAAUAUGUGUAUCAUUUAUCUUCUUCGUAUUAUUAAAUAUUAUAGAGGUGUGAGGUGUAAUUAGCGUCAUAAUUAAACUACUAAUGAUGAAUGGAGUCCAAAUCCACCAUCGUCAAAACUAGAAUUAAAUGCCUCAAUUAGUGAAAGGUGAUGGGUUUUGUCUGGUAUACUCUCAUUGUCAUCUCAUUUCAAAUGGCUCUCUCAUUUAGGUUAUCAAAGAUAUAAUAACAAAGGAAAAAACUUGUAAAUUAAUGGUGGCUUGGUUAGAGAAACACCAUCCAUAGUUGAUUCAGACUCCAACGCACAUAAGGUGGUGAAAUUAAGGGAGAAUAGAGGAUGGAAGAAUUUGUGAGAAAAGAAAGGGUGCGUGGCGAAGUGUAAAUGGUGGAGAGGGACGGCCUGGCCAUGUGGGUAUAGGGAUACGCAAUAUCUCGUGUGAGAGAAGUAUCCAACUAAAUGAUGCCACGUAUCAGUGAUAUUUUAAAAGAAUCACGCGGUUUGUCUGAGAGCAUAAUACCCAAAUUAGGGUGUGUGAAUACGAACAUGAACAUGAACAUGAUCAACAAUAAUAAUAUAAUAGAUCUUAUGGGUUUGUGCAAUCCACGCCUAUGAGAUUAUUAUAUUUGUAUCUUUUCCAAUUUUCGAGAACUCCAUUCUCCAUUCUUUUUUUUUUCUUUUUUUUUCUUUUUAAUUUUUUAAAAUUUUUCGUAUGUAUCUUUCUUUUUGUGCGAUUUUGAACCAUCGUCUUUGACUUCAACAUAAUGCAUUAGUAAAGACAAAUAUAUGGUUUUGAGAAUGUGACUCUCCAAUUUUGGAAUUCUUUUGCUAAUACUGAAUGUUGCUGUUAAUAUGUAUUGAUGUAAAGUCCCAAGUGUUUAUUUUUCCAUGACAGUGCUGAAAUUAACAUAACUUAAUUCUCAUCUUGAGUGAUACAAUAUUACAAUAUUAAAUUAAUUUAAGAUAAUUGAAAUAGUGUUUGUAGUAUUGGUAUGGUAGAAAGAAAAAACCUUUGAAAUUAAACAAUUCAACUGGUUCUUUUUUCUUUAAAGACAGGUCAGGUCAGACUGUUCUCAAACUUUUCUUGAAUUUGAUUCCAAAACCUCAAUGACCAAUUCAGAAUUGAGAAUCCAUUGGAAAAAUUUGCUAUCAGAGUACCCACUCAACCAAUCUCCCACCCCUCACCCAAACUUCUUCCAAAAAACAAAGGAUAAAGGGAGAUUCAUCACAUUAUCGAAAACCCCCAGAUAUCUUCAAACUCCACUCUUCUCUAUCUUCAAAUUUCGAAAGUAAAAAAAAACCAUGUUUGUUAGAUUAUCUUAUUUAAUUUGCAUAUUACCCUGACCUCCCCCCUCCCCAUAAAAACCGUGAAAACAAACAGCAUUUUCAAGAGGAUGAAUGAAAUAGAAUGAAUAAAUAAAUCAAGAGAGGAAAGGAACAAAGAAAAAAAAUUGCCUACUUUCUCUGCUCUGCCCCUUCAAUCUACUAACCAUUUUUUAAAAAAAGGGAAUCCAUAGAGUUUGUACAUUUUAUGGUGAAUCCUCACUCAUUUCACUCUGAAUCCGACUCCAUGUUACCCAUUGCCUUCAAUCCUCUCGGUCUCUGCCAUCAAAUUUAUAAUCAAACCAUUAAUCACAACUCUCCAUUGAUUAACACAUUCAUCGAUUUCAUAUCAUUAGCUCGAGAUACUCACCUUCUUAGAAAUCUUCUUUUCCCGAACUUCAUACCGCUCGAGAGUCAGAUCUGAUAGCCAUGCCCCCGGACUCACCAGCUGCAGCAAACCAUUUCAAAAUGUUCAAACCCCAUGGAAUAAAGCAAAAGGCACCCAUAUUCAACAAUAUACAAUGCAUAAUCAGGUGAGGUAAUAAUUGUUAGGAGGUGGGUAUUCAUCAGCCAACAGCUUUGGGGCCCAAUCUAAAAAAAGCACUUUCUUUACAAAAAGAGCUAAGGGUCCCAUUUGUCACUGAUAACAUACCAAUCACCACCCUACACAUGGCUGAGCAUCAAAUGGCAUCCGAUGCAACCUCCCUUUCUAAUCGUACCAUCUCUCUUUAUUGUUCUCUUAAUUACAAUUCAUACCGUUUAACUAAUCCCACACCCUCCUCCCCCAAGUAAUUACUCUACUAAACCCCUUUUUAAAAUUUCAACACUUAUUUGUUUUAAGCCUAAUUUAAAAACAUUUAUAUAGCUAAUGAGUUUACUUUACUAUUUGAUACUGUACCGAAGUCAUCGAACAAACCUUAUCUUUAUUCUUUAAACAAGGACUUGGUUUAACUUCCUUAGUCGGUUUCAGAUUUUUUUUUUUUGUAUCAUCUUCCAUUUUCACUUUAAGUAAAGAAAACCCCUAAAGGAAUUUAUUUGUUUAUUAACUUUUUUGUUUCUAACCCUAGAAAAUUAUAGGUUUGAGAAUGCCGAGAAGACAAGGGAGUAUGAUACAAACAGCACAGCAGCCAACCUGCAAAAAAUAACCGUACACCGUGUCCUAUCCUAUACAAGAACGUGAAUCAAACGCAGCCCGUGAAAGCUGCAGUGUUGUUUUCUUAUAUGAAUAAAUUUAUUUAUUUUCUCAUAAUUUUUAUGUUAAAAAUAAAAAUAAAUAAAUAAACCCUUUUGAAAAUUUCCUAUGGCUACACAAAAAGAUAAAUGAAUUAAUAGUUAAAAGAGGAUGAGAUUAAGGGGGGGUGGGGGGCUUACGUUGACGGUGCGUUGGAUAAUCUUGGCACGUUUCUUGGGUCUUUGUGGCAAUUUAGAGCCUUUGAUGGCUAAGAAAUCCUCUUCUUUCUCUUUGUUCGUCAAAGCAAUAGCGAAUUUUGGCGGCCAUACUUGAGGCAGAGCAGCUUCCCCACUCCCACCGGAGGAAGACCCACCUUUUUUACUAUCGUGCGCCGUCUCCGAUGUAGUCCCCGAUUUAUUGUUAUUCUCAUUGUGAUGAUGAUGAUGGCUGUUGUUAUUGUUGUUGGAAUGAUGAUGGUGGUUAUUACUUCCUCCUCUUCUAUCGUGCGCCACUCUGUCUGGCGACGCAAUUCCCCUAACCCCACCGUUGCCGUGCCCUCUCAUCGCCCCCGCCGUCUCGGAGUUCCUAUUUAUUAAAAACAAAAAAACAAAAAACAAAAAACAAAAACAAAAAAAAAAGGAAAAGACGUUUUUAUGUAAGAGUAAUAUGAAAAUAAAUAAAUAAAAGUAGUAAAAAGAAACUAGAUUUAGAGAGGAAGGAAGUCAAAUUCCGAAAUUGACCUUUGAGGGGAAGGAUCUUUAAGAUCGGUGAGACAAGUAUAGCGAAUGUGGGGGAGAUGGUGAUUUUUGGGUUUCCCUUUGGAUUUGGUUUUUCUUCAAUUUUCUUUUCUCUUUUAAUUUCAAAAUAAUAUCAAAUAAAAAGUAAGAACAUAGAUGUGGGUUGUUCAUAGCCGUCCGAUUAACAUAAUUCCCUUCACCAUCGUUAAGAUUACGUGUGACGACGACGUGAAGGUCUAUUGUGACUGUACACACUCGUGGGUCCACCACACACUCUUUUCCCUAAUCCCAAAUUAGUGAUCACACGGCUCUCAUUCCUCCACACAAAAAAGCUUAUCACUAAAAUCAUUUCCAUUAUUCACAAUCAUGUGCUUAAGAUUAACAUCUUAACAUCGUCAUCGUCAUACCAUAAAAUUUAAAAUUUGGAAUAAAUACCUGAGAAUGCGGUGGUGAGGAGGGGGCAGUUGAGGAGAAGAUGGUCGUUGGCGGAGAUUCAGAUACCCAUUGGCAGGAGGACCAUGGGUCCGGUUCGGGGAGUCUUUAUCGGUUCUAACGACUCGGCGGUCGACUCGGGCGGUGGUGGUACGGUGAGCCGGAGUGGCGGGGUCGGUUUUAUCUCUGCCUUGGACCUUCAUGCAUCUAAGGCGCUUCCGGUUUCCCCACUGCAAAACAAAGUCCGAUGAUGGUGUGGUUGUUUGUCUUGUAGCAUCGGAAUUGGAUCUCAGUACGUCCACUCCGCUUCUCCCCGAUGUGUCCACUUUGUUAUUGGCGGUGCCGUUGCUAUUAUUAUUAUUAUUGGUUCUUAUGGUAUCCCUUUCCAUCAGGCUUUUAAAUAUAACUGUAAUGUGGAAUGGACGGCUAACCCAAGUUAGUUGAGGUAAUCAACCAUGGUUAAAUCUCCAUAAAGUAAAACAAAGAAAGAGGGAAAAUGGAGGAAUUGUGUUGGAUUUUGCAAUCAACCCCCCACAUGGCCUAAUUAGCGAAAACAGGUAAACAAAGAUGAACCUUCUCCAGCUAUUUCCGAGUUCAGAUAAACUCAUAAUCGCGAGAGCUUGUGAGGGAUUUAAUUAUGCAAGAUCAAGGUCAGAAAAAACUUUUCAUUACAAGAAGGAAAAUGAGGAGGUUUUUUCUUUUCGAUUUGAUAUUAGAUCUAAACCCAGAAAUCCAAUGAUAGGUAAUGCAUUCACAAAAUCAAAAAAGAUAAGAGCAUCUGGGAAAAUUCGUCUGCUGAUUGCGAAUCUGAACAACAAAUCAAACUCGCAUCUUUCCAUCAUAGAAAGAAAUCCAAUUGAGAGGAAAAUCCUGUCCGUGAACAUUUUUGGAGAUGGAAAUUUCUGAAGCCAUACACAGAGGAAAGGUUUUCAUUUUCUCCAUCAACAUAUGAAUUUUAAAAAUUUAAUAAAAACUCUCUGAUUCUUCGAAAUGAAGAAGAGAUGAACAAUGGAAGGAGUAGGAUAGUCUCUUUAGAGAGAGUAGAAAAUGGAGGUGAAUAAAAUUUGAUGCAUUACCUGAAAAACCUGAACUGAAGCAAACAAAAACCAGUGCGCAAAAUCAAAAGGGAAGCGUAGGAAGGCGACUGAUGCCAUGAGAUGAAGAAUAACGAAGAAUCAAAAUAAUCCCCUCUGCCCCAAACCACCGAAUGGAGGAAAAAACGAAAGAAGCCACAGUACAAAAAACAACUGCACAUCAAACUCUCGAACUAAAUCUCAAAAACCCAGUUGAAUAUAUACGAUCUACGAUUCAGGAUAAUUUUCUUUACCUGUGAUUCAAAGAAAUUCCCAACCAGAUGGUCGCUUCUUUUACUCUUCAGACUAAGCGAAAAUGCGAAUCAGAAACCAAAUUGCAACGACGGAGUUCCAUCGCUCAGAGUUCUCUUCUUCGACUAUCGAACAACAGCCCUGUUUCCACCAUCUCCAAUCUUUCCAACAGUUUGGAUUUUCUUCAGACAAACUAAAAAAUCCGUUUAAAAAAAUGCAUCUGAAAUGAACAAACAGAUUACAGAAAAUCAAUAAACGGAGUCAUUCCACAACCAAAAACACAAAUAACUAACAACCCAGUGAAAGGAAUUUCUCACAAAUUUGCAAGCCUCUGUAAACUUCAAGACGUCCCCCAGAUGAUUACAAAUGAAAAGGAAUCGAUUGGGUAAAUAAGAGAGCAAAAUUCGCUUGUAAAUCAAAUCCACUCCGAAUUUGUUCAACUAGAAAUUCCCAAAUGUAUUCGUGAAAAAACAAAAACAAAAACAGUCACGCCUGUUUAAUUAUUUCUUUAAACAGAUCAAUUCCAAAAGACGGAGAAAAAUUGAAGCAAGGAGCGAAAUUGUUCGACCCACAAGCUUGUUUACAAAUGAGAGAUCCUCAGCAUUCCAGACUAGAAUUGAGAACACUAAACUUCGUUCCGAUUAGAGAACAAUAACAAGGAAAAAACAAAACAGAAGAGAAUUUGAAAGAACGCCAGAAGAACUGGAGAGAGCUUUCUUCUUCCUUCUCCUUCUCCUUCUCCUUCUUCUUCUUCUUCGUUUCUUGUUCUUCUUCUUCGUCCCUCCUUUUCAACAAAUACAAAACACACCCUAUGAAACGGAAUUUUAUACCCUCAUUACAGAUUGAAUCGCACACUUGCUUUCUCCGCCGUUCAUCAUACAUCAAACGACUAUCCUUUCAUCUCACCAUCCUUCUCUCUCAGUGCCCGCGUUACGGCGUCGUAUCAUGUUUUGGUUUUCCUAACCCUUUUUUGUUUUCCUUUCUCACGGCCUUUAUUGACGUCAAACGGAAUCUUCAACGCCGUCAAGUUUUUUAUUAUUAUUUUCGCGGGGGGGAAAUUAAAUGUGGUUUCCUUUGUUUCGGUUGGGUGCGACGGCCCAUUUGGGUGAGACCAAUGGGUUGGGUUUGGGUCCGCUUUCGAACGUUAACCGUGGUUAAUUAUGUAACCACGGUGGAUGAGUGAAAAAGGAGAUGGUAUCCACUGUGACCCUCCCUAUUAUCCUAUCUAUGUGCUGGAGAUAUCUAUUUAAGAUUUAACAUAUUUUCCUAUUUAAAUUCAAUUUCUUUACCUUUUCUUUUUCUUAAUUUCUAAUUUUAAAAAAAUUACAAGAUGUUUACUGCAAUAUGUGGAGAAGUAGUAGUUUAUAAACUUCAACAAUAUUGGCUUACUUUGGUUUUUACUAUUUUAUUAUUAUUGGUAUUCUAAAUUCAAAUAGAAAAUAUCUGUUUCACCAACUCUAACAAAAAUGUAUUGGAUUUUAAGUUACAUUGUUCUUUACUAUUAAUUUAGUCAUUUUGUGUAUAUACCAAUAUUCGAAACUAGGAGUAGAAACGUUGAUCCAAGGUCUUUUUCUUUUUUUUUUUCAUUAGAAGAAGCUUGCAAUAUUAAAAUAGGUUUUUAUAUUAUAUAGUAAUACUUACGUGCAUUUAUCUUCACCAUUCACAUAUGAAACAUAUUCAAAUAUUCUAUAAAUAAAUAAAUAAAAUCAAACCGUAUUGUAACGAGUUAUUAUUUUACAAUUUGAUGAGAUGCAUAAAGAUAGGUGAUGCUCAAGAUGCGCCCAAAUAUAUAUAUAUCUUUUAUAUACACAAUUUUCUUAUUUUAAAUUUUGGCAUGAUCCAUAGGACAAGUUGUAUGUUGAAAAAUGUUUAGCUUGACCCGGAAAAAAAUUUCUUCCAAAAAGUCAUUUAUUUUUAAGCAUUACAUAUAUAUAUAUAUAUAUAUAUAUAUAUAUAUAUAUAUAUAUAUAUAUAUAAAAAAAAAGAAUGGUGAUGUCUUUAGUUACAUUUUCUCAAAAUAGUAUUUUUAUACCAAGCUUUUUUUAAAAUUUAUUGUACACUUAAAAUAAUAAUGUGAAAGAAGACUAAAUAUUGAAGACUAUGAAUUGGACACUUAAAUGAGUUAGGAAGUUUAAAGUAACUCUUACCUCCAUUUUCUUUAACAUAUUUGGUGGUCGUAUUUAAAAAUAUUAUAUAGACUAAAGUUUCACAUUUUAAAAUCUUUUAAAUGAAUUUUUUAUAUAUAUAAAAAAAAAAGUUAUAAUUUUUAACUAUUUAGUUUACUAUCUUACUUCAUGUUUAUUAUGAUUGUCUCAUUUUCAUAAUUGAAAAACAUAUAUCAUUUGAUUAAUUAUAUUUAAAUUAAAAUGAGUCAACAAAUUAUGUCUUUUUAACAAGAAUGACGUAACGUUAUAUUUUAAUUCAAAAACAUUUACGAAAAAAUGUGAUAAUGAAUUAAUUCAUCUUUUUUUUAGAAAUGUUUGUACGAUUUGGCUUAUUUUGAUUUGCUUUGGAUCUUUGUUGGAGUUUAAAGCAUGCUUGUAGUUUUUGAAGAUUGUAAUUUUAAGUCACGGUUGGUGCAUCCAUGGAGAGGCAUUUUUUCUUUUGUUUAGGAUAGUUAAUGUUUUUUUUUUAUUAGUAACGAGUGAUAUUGUUUGAUUUUGAUAUGUAACAUUGGUUCUAAUUGCUUGGGGUUGGUAUUGAGGAAACCCUAAAGGGCUAUUCUCUAUUUAGACUUUGUCUUCAUUUAUAUGUACUUUAUUUUUUUUGGUAAAUUUUUUUACAUUAUUCAUUUUUCCUUUAUGUCUUGUUGAUUUGUGUCUUAGCUUUAAGGUCAUUUUUCCUUUUCAGCAGUCCAAUACAAUUGGAGGAAAAAAAUUAGAUAAAAGAGAUAAAUUUUGUCUUAUAUCUCAUUUCUAUCUUUUUUUUUUUUCUUUAUUUUGUUUCAAGAGUUAUACCAAGACUGUGGUAGAUAUUUGAAUUUCGACAUAUUGGUUGACUUAGUUGACUCAAGGAACAAUUUGUUGCGCGAGUACACGAUGCUUGAUAUAUUACUCAAUUUUGACAUCAACAUUUCAUCUCAAAUCACUUAGAAUCACACAUCAACAAUAUACAUAUGUCUUAAUUGAAUUGAACUAUGUUAUCGAUGAAAUUGUUUUUAGCAUUUAAGUAUAUAUUUUUAUUUUUUUAGUAUAAUAGCUUCAAAAUAGAAUAGUAUUUCUCACUUUACUAUUUAAUUGCUACAACUUUAAUUAGUAUCUUAAAUUCUCCUCUUUAUAUUACAUUAUAGAAUGUUUACUAUUUUAUCAAAUUAAAAUUAUUUUACACUACAAAUACAUGUUAUUAAUUAUAAUCCAAAGUAAAAUGAUUCACACCUCAAAUUACAAACUAUCAUAGCUCAACUAUAAUAACUUAAGAUGAUAACAAUCUCCCUUGCUCCAAACACUCCAAAAAUAUUAUAAGAAGAUUAUAGGUAGUUUAGAAAUUCUAGAAGGAGAUUAUCAACCAUGUAUAAUACUCAUAUUUAUAAUUGAUGAGGAUGAGAUCUCAACCGUCCAAAGUUUGUUGUCAUUUUUCUAUUAAUUCGACAUCACCAAUCCAUCCCAUUUAGCUUGUCAUGUGAGGAUUUUUUUUUUGUGUGAGUAAUGAGAAAAAGAUGUACAAAGAUGAUUAUUGUUUCGAGUGCACCAAAGAUCAAGUAUUACUUUUCCUCUAACAAGAGUAUAUUAAUUUAAACUAUCCGUACUAACGAUUUACAUCCUCUCAAAAUCACUAAAUUUUCUUCCUAAACCAACCAAUUCAAACAUUUGAUUAUAACAACUUUCAACAUCCUAGCAUGUAUUACAAUUAGAAGAUAUGAAAGUUUAGAAUAUUAUAUCAGUAAUCAUUAUGUAUUUAUAUUUUCCUUAAUUCUUCCAUAUUUCUCCCUCACAUACAUCAAAUUUUGCUAUGCUUCUUUCUAACUUUGUUUUAUGAUAUAACUUUCUGACCCAAAAUAUAUAUUUACUACAAACAAAAUCAAUUUUAUUUCAACAUCUUUCCCUAAUAACAGCCGGUAGCCUUGAACUACUACUUCCCGGCCACAGUCAUGGCCUGACCGACGACGGAGAAAAUGGCAAAAUGACAUUAUUAAUCACUUUAGUUUGGUGUUCAUUGUUUUGGGGUUUGUAAGAAGUGGCAAACGACGGUGCAGUCGUCUUGUUUUGAAGAAGGCCAGCGUUUCCAAGCCUCUGUCGCCGCAUCCACCACCGCUUUCGCCGCCGCUUCUUCACUCUCCGCCGCCCAAACGAUGGACGCUACUUCGUCGUUGCUCAGCACAUCCCAUAUCUGAGAAUAAUCGAAAAACCCCACAUCUCAAAAUUACUAAAUUUGCUAAUUAAUUUGAUUUUUUUUAAAAUCUACGGAAUGAAAUAUGUUUCUCUCUUUUUCUUGCUUUAAAUGAAUAAAGUAGUUAUUUAUUGCAUUUAAAAAUCAAAGUCAACAAUUUUUUUGAACAUAAUAGGAGAUGAAGUAAAUUAAAACCAUGGGAAUCUUGGAGAACUAUCGAAAAAAAAAAGAAAAGAGAAGAGAGGAUUACCCCAUCAGUGGCGAGAACGAUGAAGCGAUCGAGAGAAGUGAGAGGGCGGAAGGAGACAUCAGGGAGAUUAAUAAUGCCAUAAUCUUUAAGAGCAAAAUCACCAAAAGCUCUUGACAUAGCCAGCCCCGGUGAGUCUUCGUUGGGGAGCCACACUCUUUGUAUAUGAGCUUCGUCUUUCAGCGCCAAGACUCUCCCUUUACAUCUUCUUAUUCGCUCACCCUCACUCUCCAAUCCAGGCUUUAAAUCUGUAGUUAACUGAACGGCUUUGAUUCCUCCAUCCUCCCUCAUCCUCCCCAUCACCGCCCUUGAAUCUCCCAAAUUCCCAAUCACCAAAUAAUCUUCCUGUUUUCAACAUAUCAUUCAUUAUCAUCUCCCCUUUAAUUUGUUUUUUAAAAAACGAGAAGAAGAAAAGAAAAAAAAUGAAAACAUUAUUAUGUAACAGGAUCUUAAUCAUUACCUGUUUGACCAUAACAACAGCGGUUGAUCCACUGCAAGAGCCAUCCAAAUUCUCUUGGAGUUUGAUCUCUUUAUCCAUAACCUUGAAGGAAGUUUCAAAAGCUUCUUUCCAUGCAUUGAAACUCUUCCUCUUCACCAAGCUUGACUUAGCAGUUACCUCCCCAAGCAAUAAUGAAGGCAAUCUAUUCUUCACUAAAUUGCUCACAAUAUGACCAUUUGGUCCAUGCCCAUCAAAAACUCCAAACAAAUCACUCUCUUCAACUUCUCCAUACUCCUAAUUCACAAAACAAACACACAAAUUUAAUAAUUCUAAAUACGUAAUAAUUAAAACAAACAAAUCUAAUUAAAUUACCUGAUAUGCAAAAGCAGCAUCUUGAUUGAUUCCUUUGCUGCCUUGCUUAGAACAAAUGGAUUCGAGUUUCUGAAUCCCGCAAACAGAAUAACAUGACUUAUAAUGAUCUUCUUCAAUAAUAAUACUUCCAACUUUGUUAGUUUCAUGGCGAAUCUGAGAAGAUGCAGAGGAUAUACAGAUUCCCAUUGUCAAAGGUGUGUGAGGAGGGGAAGUUUGAAGAAAUGACAAUGUCCUUUGCCUUUAAAUCAAUAAAUUGAAUGGGUCCUACAUGGGCAGAUUAGCAAAUUAAUCAGUUAUAUUAUAUAGUUUUAGCAGCUGCCCGUUGACUCAGAAUCAUUCACUUGCCUUUGAGUAAUUCAUAAUUUAUAAUGGAACCAACAAAGAAUAUACAAACUUUGGCCAUCUCAACACUCUACCCAAUAGGCAAUAACCCACAAACCAAAAUAGAUCAUAGAGAAGAAAAAUCUUAAAUCUUUGGCUGUUUAUUAAAAAAAAAAAAACACCCUUCUUGGUAAUAAUUAAAAAGUAACUAUAUAUCAUCCUCAACUUUUUACAAACAAGAAAUUCGUUACGAGUUUGGAUGAAAUUUCAAAUGUAGAAUAAAGAGGUAGUGAGAUAAUUUAACAUGGUUGUGAUGAAGUUGGAAAAAACCUUCACUACUAACAAUAUAAACAAAUAUUUCCUUGAUUCUUAUAAGAGAAUUCUCCAAUAACAUUAUAUCACUAAUCCCCAUAGUUAGUUUAAUAAACUUAAAAUACUAAAAUCGGUUUUGAACUUUUUUAACAUGGAGAACUACACUUCUAAUAAUUUGUCAACUCCAACGCUACGUUAUUAUAGGAUUGUGGUUUUAGUUUCCGAGUCUCCUUCAACAUUUUUAUGAAUUUAUAUCGUAAUGUAUUUUUCAACCCAUUAAAAAAAGGUUUUUCUAAAAAAUUCAUGAUAAAAAUUAGUUUUUUUUCUUGUUUGCAAUUUAAUAACAAGGAAAAUCCAUAUGCUGAGUAGUUGUAGAGUCUGAAGCGAUGAAUGGUUGACCAAGCAAACAAAUUAUUGUUAUUAUUAAUAUUACUUUUAGCUUCUUCUUCUUUUUAAUUUUAAUUUUGGGAGAGAAACUUAAAAAGUAGGGAAUGGAAUUUCUUGUGGAGAAGAGUGAUUGUGGGAGAGACGAAGGGCCAAUUUUAAUCAAUAGUAAAAUAAUUUCCAAUUAAUACAUGAAUUAAUUAUCAUUAAUCAAAUAUUAGUUAUUAUAAACACAUUGCAAAUUAAAUUAAGUAAAGUUCGAAAAAGGGACCCACCAGGCACCUGCUUGGAUAAAGGAGAACCGUCGGAUGAAGAUGGUGAUUAGAAUCUCUUGAAAUUGGAGAUGACGUGGAUCCAUUGUCAAAUACUAUUGGAAAUUCCACCAAAGUAUGAGGAUGGGGUUCCGGGUCCCACCUUCCCACUACAAUGGAUCUCAUCUCAUCUUACGUCACCAUUUUAAAAAAAAAUUAAUUAUUCAUUAUACUUUUUUAUUUCCUUUAAUUGAAUCUCACAGAAGGUAAAUUUGGUUAAAAUCUUUUCAAUCAUUUUUUGGAUAAACAUUGGAUCUCUUAUUUAUUUUCAACCAUUUUUGUUUGUUUUUAAUUUGUUUUUGUUUUUAGAUUUGAUGCCCUUCCAAAUAUUUUACCAUAGUAUUGGUCGGUGAAACUCGGGCCUUGAUCGUUUUUUGGUCCGUUCCUUUCGCAGUGUUGGAACUAACGAGCGUUUUUUGGUCCGUUCCUUUCGCAGCGUUGGAACUAACGUACGCAAAAAUGUUUGUAAUAGAGUAGUGUUGCGUUGAGCAUAUUUUGAAUUUGAUGUUUAAGUUAAUAUAAAAAGAGUUACUUAGCUUAGCUAAGCACAUGAAGAGUUACUUAUAUGCUAUAUCGACGAUGUCAAAGUGGGUAUGACUUUCAAGAUUGUAGAAUGCCAACGAGCAAAGACAAAAGUGUUUGUCAACUUGAAAUUGUAAGAAACGUUUUCCAAGUAAGAACUUAAAAUUGUAAGAAACAAAUCCACGGUUCAAAAAUUAAAUAAAAUUUAUUAAAAAAGAUCUAAACUUUUAAAUUUAUUAUGUUUUAAAGUUUAAGGACUUAAAAUAGACAUUUAAAAUUUAAAACUAAAACGAAAAAUUAAUACAACCUCCAAAGUAAAAAAAUUUAUAAGGUUAAAAUAGGGAUAUGGCCAAUAUGAUUUAUAAUAAGAAGCGUGGUAAUUUUGUAUCUAUCAAAAUCGUAAUCAAAACAUAAAUUAAUUAUAAUUAGAGACGGAGGUGGUUAUAAUUAUAACUUAUAAGGAGAUUAACUUUAUGUUCAUGUGAAAGGGCAAUGGUGUAGCUUUUGGGAUUAUCAGAGAGCUUUUCUUUUUCUUCUUCCUAUCUGGUUGAAGGUUGAUCACAUUACACGAAGAGAUGUCCCCAAAUUCAAAAGUUGACUUAUAUCAAUAAAUUUUGUAAUAAUAUUUCUAUCAUUUUCAGGAAAUUAUAAAACACACCAAUUAUUGAAUCAGUUUGCCAAGUGGGAAUCUAUCAAUCGUUAGAAUAAGCUUUUAGAAUCUAUAAAUCAAUACAAAAAAAUAUUCAUCUCUUUCCUGAUCUCAGCAAUGAAAGUCAACUUUUCUAAUACCCAAAUGGCACCAACAGGAAGUAAUAUGAUCCAUCAAAAUAUGACAUUUGGAGCACAUAAUCUGAACAUGACAAAGAUUCAUAUCAUACCAUAAGACCGUUGUCUCUCUCGUAGUAGACUUGAUGUUAUGUACAUUAAAAGAAAACUUAAUCUGUCGCCAGAAAAAGAUUAAAAAAAAAAUCAGUCUACAGAUGAACAAGUGAGGUACCAUUAAGCUACAACAACAUCCAUGUUUCCAUUGUCGUUUCACUGGCUUGUAACAGGGACAACUUCGUUUGGAGGGGCGGUAUCAGCGGGAGGCAAUUUCUUUGUAAGAGGCUUUGGUAUAUCGAGAUCAUCUAGCGAUAUUCGUUGCUGGGGGUGUGAUAACAACAGACACAUACAACGGUAAAGAACACGUGCAACUCCCUGGCCACUCUCGAAAAUAUAGCCUUCAUACUGGCUAACAUGAUCAAGGGCAUCAACUAAAGCAUCAUACACCUCUUGUGGGCAGUUGUCAGGUCCAGGCUUCUCAUGGAGGUAUAUAACAUCAAAAGUGAAGAGUUUUUGGUUCGCAGGCCACUGAUGUUGGGGCUGUGUCGAUGAUCUGCAAUAAAUAAGAAUCUAAAUGCAACAAAUGAUUAUGAUGCAUCCAUAUAAUCUUCCAAACAUACAUUGGAACAUUAGAGGUUCAAGGUCGGAUAAUCUAGGCUCACUCAUAGAUUCAUAUAACAGAUAAAAAUUUGAGCUGAUUUCGCAGAUUAGGACUAUAGGUAUAAUGAGAAUACCAGUCGUAGAAUUCGAUUUUGGGCGGUUGAUUUUCUUGAUUCGUGAGCAGCUAAUCGGAAAAGACUGGUAAGAUCGGCAUGAUUGCAAGGGGAAGUAGCACCAAGUCCCCUGACUGCAGCCUCUGCAGAUGCAAUAUCACUGCUAAACUCCUUUUUUAGCUUCAUUUACAAAAACUUUGGAUUAGAACCAGAUAUGUCGUUUAACAAGAAUGCUAUAAAAGAAUUAGGCUCUCCUAUGCAGAAGCUUGAAUAACAUUUCCAUCCAUUCAGAGGUUUAGCAACUUACCGUGUCAUAAAGAGUGCAAGAGUAACAGUGCAUUUAUAACUCAGUUAAAUGAACCUCAACCAAUUACUAGUUAUGCCUCCAAAAUGUUGAGUCAUGAAGAUAAUUCUUUUAGUUUAGUAAUAAGAAAAGACUGAUAAGUAAAUAUAAAGAGAAAUGAAUGACAAACAGUGAAGGGCAAGAGUGAUGGGAGCUAUAGAAGUGAAGUGACAGCCCAAUCUUUCUUGCGUGGUUAGUGCAGACAACUAAGGUUCGGUUUGGGAGGGUUCCAGAUUUGUUUUUCUGUUCAAUAGCAGUUGAUCAUAGAGUGCGGUAGUUAAGAAUUCAAGAAACAACGAUUUAAGGAGAAAUCAGCUGCAAGCAACCGGAAUCACCAUGCUCAUCUCCAAGUUCCACCGCCCAAAAAACUUCUUCAAAAGAAAAAUGACUCUAAAAGUGGAUAGUUGGAGAUAUUUCCUUCUCUUUUCCCCACAUAAAAUAUCAUCAGUAUUGUCACCCUUUCACAAUCUAAUUCUAAUACUGAAGCACAUGUUUUGUUCUGGAUCAGCACAUAUUAACAUCAUACUGACAAUAUCAAAACAAUGACUCUCAGUAAGAGUUAACAAAGUGGAAGGGAAAUUGUUAGAUCAGCACGGUCAAGUUAUAUUCUUCAAAUCAAAGAUGCAAAAUUGACAAUGGUUAGAUCAGAAAGUUUGUGGUACAAAACUUCAACUAUUAGUCGGAAAUCAGAUACUGUUUGGAUCAGCAAGUUUGUGUUAUAUCCUUCUAUUCAAAUCUGGACUAACAAGAUGAGCGAAUAACGGACCUUCUCAUUUUAUGCCCCACAGCGUGAACAAGAAAGGGGGACCUAAGAGCUUAAUCACAUUCACACAAAACAAAAUCUUAAAGUUCCCAAGCCAGAGGAGUGAUCAUUUGAGGAACAGAAUCCCUCAAUAAUCUAUUGAAUAAGAUGUUUGGAUCAGGGAAAAAAAAAGAACUCAGGUAUAAUCUCCAAUACAUGCCACAUACAAACUCAAACCUGCAGAAGAAUUUAAACUACGAGUUUCCAACCAUGGAAUAAUCCAAUAUUUCUCUACACCACAUGAAGUGUUCUAUAUGUUAAGGCAGGUAAAUAGGAAUUGAGUUCCCCAAUCUAGGUAAAUGAGUAGAAUGAUGCAGAAAAUAUAAACUCCCCUAAAAACUAAAAUUAGCCUUGAACCAAAAACAGACAGAAAUCACAGAAAUCCAGUAAUCCAAAACCUACAUUUCUGAAUGAAGAAAGCAAAAUCAACAAGAUGGGGGGAUUACCCAAAUGGCAGAUUUGGCGAUGGUGGUGAAAGCAAAUCGAUGGUCAGGAUUCAUGGAGAGUUUGGCGUGGACAAAUAGAAGAAUUGCUUGCUUAAUGGAGUCCAUUCUGGUGAUGGGUCGUCCAUUAGAGCCGGUGGUUUUGAUCUCAACGGAAGAUUCAGGGUUCACAUCUAUGCAGAAGAGAAUGUCUUCGUUGUUUAAUCUCGAUGAUUUCAGCGAGUAUCCACUUCCUCCUCUCUCAACUUCGAUUGCUUCCAUGGUUAUUCAGCGUCGAUUUUUGAAAAUUGGAAUACAAAGAUCAGCGUUUGGUGCCUUGUGGAGCUAAUUGUUUCAGAACUUAAAUUGGGGAUUUACUGUUUCCUUUUCUAUUUCGAGGGCAUGUAGAAGAAGACCAUAUUUAUAAGUAGACGGUUUUGAGCUGGAUACGAUUCCACAACACCAUUCUAUUCAGCAGUCAUAUCAACUAAAUUCUCAUUCAAAUUCCUACUUUUAUCCUUUACACAUUUUCAUCCGGCCCUAAAAACAUCAAUUUUAAACUUUAUCAACGUUUUACAUAGUGAAUUUCCAAAUUUCAUAACACAUAUUUCAAAUAACUUUUUUUUAACUCAAAUCAACUCAAAAAUCAAACCGUUUAUAAAUUAAAUUGAAAAUUGAAAUUAAAGAGAUAGUUUAAUAAUUUAUCAUUACCAUAAUUAUUUUGUUACAUUUAAAAAAAUAAUAUAAAAAGUUCAUUUGAGAGACGUGAUUAGGAUGAUAUGCUUGUUUAUAAGCAAAUUUCAUGUUAUUUAGUAGUUAUAGUCACUUGAUAUCAUAGAAGUUGUAUGGACUCAUCUACUAGUUUAUUAACCAUAGUUACUUUACAACAUUUCUUGUAUUGAUUUAUUCCUUUUAAGUAUUGAGACUAAAAAACACGAAAUGAACAAAAACCACGAAUCUCUUCUCGAAAUGUUGUAAAGUAACUUUGGAAAAUGAGUUCUAAAUUUUGAGAUUUAAGAAAUAAUUAGUUAACAAUAAAAAUAAAGAUCGGAGUUGAUAAUAAGAUAACUGAGUUAACACAAAUGAGAAGCGAGAAAUGUGGGUGUUAGUGAAUAAUAUGAGUUAGAUUUCCGGUUGCCAUCAUCCCCUUAGGGUUAGGUUAAAAGAAAUAAAAGAAAAACGUCUCUCAGCGGCGACAUCUCGUUACGCACUCUCUCUACCUUUCGCGCCUCCCGAUCUCUCGCGCCCAUCAACGUUACCUCUUGCUCCGCCUUCUCCGACGCCUACACGCCGCCGGCUACUGCAGGUCCGUUUCUCUCUCUCUCUCUCCCCCUGCGUGAUUUGGUGCAUAGCUUUCGUUCAUUCAGUAUUUUUGUUCUCUACCUCACAGCACUCUCUGUAUCCUCUGUGUUUCUCUCCUGCAGCUGCAACCGGAAGCUACCAGUCACCACCGUUCAGACGACGUCCGACAUCCCUCAGGACAGUAGCCAGUCCGUUGCCCAGCAAGUGUUUUGCACGUCAGUCUAGGUGCGGUGUUUCCUUCUAGUUUCUGAACUAUUCUCGCUAUAUUGAUUAUUCACUCUGUGGUGGGCUUUAUAUUCACAAAUCCGAGGAGUUUUAGCUAAAUGACUAUUACAAGGCUCUGAACUCGUCUUUGAAUUUACUAUCUAAUGUUACUUUAGAGUUAUAAACCUUGAAUUUUCCUUGUGCUUAGAAUUGGGCGGUUCGUUGAGGUUAAGAAACUAAUUUUGGAAUGGAUAUCGGGGAAAUUUUCUAGUCACCAUGGGAGAAAUGAAAAUGUUAAAGUAGUUUGGGUCUCCAAAAGCUUGACAAUAAAUGGAAUUAUGUUGGUAAGAUUGGAUGCAGAUUUUCGGAAACUGAAAGCAAAUUGAUUUUGUUGGAUUUUUUUUUUUUUUUUUUUUUGAGCUCAGUGAAUUUAUAACCGGAAAACCAUCCUAGGUUCGGGUUGGUUUGAUGAUAAUUUUGGCCUCAAACCAAAUAUGAUCGCAAUUAGCCCACAUACCAGAACUGAUAUACAUCAUUCAGUUUUCCCAUAAUUGAUGCACUGCACAAAUUCACGUUUUAAUGUUCGGUACCUAGUACCGAGUCUGAGGAGUUUACUAUGACGAGUAGUUGAAUUAGUCUGCUGUAGGAUGGGUUAAUUGUUCAGACUCCACUAAGACGACAAUACCAGAUUAGUAGUAGAUUAAUCAGUUUAGGUUUAUUAGUUACAGUCUUCCAGUUCAUGUUGCAUUGGGACGCAUGGCAUAAGUCUAGUGACGUUAUGUUCCAGUUCUAUUUUCUUAGAAACUAUGUUCUGUACUCUUUGAGUUUUUUCCCUCUAAAUGUAUAAUUUUGUUCUCAAUUUAGAAUGAGUUUAUUGGUUGUUUUUAGCUGGGAUCCCAAGAUAAAGUUUAUUUAAUUUUUCAAUUAUACUUUGAGGUUUUCAAUUUCAAGCGUCAUGCAUGCACUGAUGCACAUAUUGUAGAUCAGGUCUUAGACAUAUUGUAGAUCAGAUCUUAGAAAGUUGCGUCAUGACCGGUGCUCUAGGAUUAGUUCUAAGAUUUUGAACCCUUCGUGCAGCUGAUCUUAUUGUAUAAAUGCCAAAGAAGAAAUCUUCUAAAACGCCUAAAAAGAUCCCAGAGAAUGCCUCUACGAAACAGGAGAAGUCCAAUGCCGUGGUAAAAGGUGAAAAUCCCAAUUCCGUAGUGAAAGAGGAAAAGCCCCCAUCAGUAAAGAAACACAGUGAGAUCGAUGAAAUUUUUGCUGGGAAGAAGAGGAAAAAGCCCGAAGUUGGGAAGACCGAGGAGCCAAAACUAGAUGCACAAGACAGACCGAAAAAGACAAAGAACAAGAAAAAGGAUGAAGCUCAAUCCAGAAAUGGAUUUGCAGACCCACAAUCGCGGCGAAGAAAGAAAACUGGGGAUGGGCUUACAAUUUACACCGAAGAGGAACUGGGUUUUGGCAAUGCAGAUGCUGGAGGCACCCCGCUCUGCCCAUUUGACUGUAAUUGUUGCUUCUAAACAUCCUCAAUGUUCGAUUUUGAUCAAGAGGUCGUUUCUCUAUCUAGUAAAACAUCUGUUACAUCUUCCAUUUCUGUGAAUCAAUUUUUCCAAUUUUAUUGAGCAGUUUAUUUGUUUCCAUAACGGCUGUGCAUUGGAGGCGAUCAUCAUUUUAGAUUAUAUAAUUAUGAAGCACAGAAAAGUAUAAAAUUUUGAAGGUCUUGAUGGAAUUGUUGUUGACACGACAGUACAGACCAUUCUGUUAUUUGGUUUCUUAAGACCUGUUCAACAACAUAAAGUCGAUUGCACCUUGUGAACAGAAUUCUAAAGAGAAAAUGCAGUAGAUAGUUUGGUUCAUUAGAAUCUGAAAUUUAAAUUUCUAUCUACCACUUCUGUUUCACAAACAAACUUGGGUUACUUAUCUAAUAAACGAGAUCCAGUGGUAUGUUCUUCAUUUAUUUUGUUCUGUUAAAGGGGCACCAAUUUCUCAAUUGUAUUAAGUUUGUGAUAAUUUUCUAUUUAAAUUGACUCAGAUUUUGAUUUUUUUUAUAUAAUUAAAUUAAGCAAUUUAAAUUGAGGUUUCAUAAAGAUUUGGAUUUAAUUUCAUCAAGAAUUGGCUUUUUUUUCUAAAUACAAAGUAGAGUGAGCUUUGAAAUCAAAUAUUACACAACAGUUAUUGCGCAAUUAAGAAUUAGUUUCAUUUAUGAGGAAAUAAGAAGAAAAGGAGAGUAUGCCUACAAAGUUUAUGUGUUGCGAUAAAUUGACAGCAAGGGGAUGGAAGAUCACAUUUCAAACCUAUGUCCCAACUGAGGCUUUUCAGAACUCUAAAACCAUUAACAGUUAUGAAAUCAAAUAUUAAGCAACACUUAUAACGCAAGAUAUUAUCCCAUUCAUUUUCCAUUUAUUUUCUGAGAAGCAACUGUGAAAGAUGAUAGGCAAGAAUCCCAUGAUGAGUCUCUCAUCCAGAUUGUUCCAACAAAUGAAAAGGCGUCAUCUGAGACUACACAAGCAACAACAAAAAGUGAGAUAGUCCAAUCAAAUGAUAAUAGCAGAUUAGAGGAUAAGGAUUCUUUGUAAAUGUUGAAAUCAUUCUAACAAAAAAACCAAAAAAUCGUAUUUGCAAAUCAGCUUCUGUAAAACAAGAACAGAUUUACUAAGCUAAACAAGAACAGUAGCUUGAAAAUUUCACUGCUUGAAAUUUGAAGGAUACCAUAUAAAAUAAUAAUAGAUUCCCCCAAUCGUGUUCAGUAGCUCAAUAUAGGCACCGUGCAAAAGGUUGUUUGUUGUAAGAUUAAUGAACAAACACCCGUGUCUGAAUUUAAUGCCCAUUCAAACUCUAAUUCAAAAACCCUACACAGACCUAAUUGCAGAUGAUGGGGAUUAGAAAUUUUUAAAAAAUGUCGACCGGGCAUUGUGUCUUAAAACGAUUAAGUUUUAAGGAUCUUCUUCCGGUAACAAAAUAUCGGCUCCAUGCGGCAGACGGAUCGCCAUUAAAACGGCGCCUGCUGCUGACUCGAUGAUAGAGCCAAUUCAGAUUAACCAACCCAUUUCAUCGAAUUUUUUAAAGAGAAAGCAAAUAAACGAUUCAAGAUAUCAAACGCAUUUCUCUUGGAUUGAAGGAGAAGACAAUGAAAAUCAAAACAAAUCGGAAAUUAAAGUGACAGAAGAAGGAGAUAAUCUCAGGACGGACGGAAGACAAUUCAAAAGCUGCGGUUCAGCUGAAAUUUAUAGAGGAUAUUUGUGAAGAAACCCUAAAUUCUGAUUGUGAGUUUAUCGAAAAGACCGGAGAGGAAAGCCCAUUGUGUGAGGCCCAAACUAAAUGACCUGGGCCUUUUUUAGUUUCAGCCCAAAGGGAUGCGACACGUCGUUUCACUUUCUAUAUAGAGCCAAGAGCGUGCCACGUCAACAGACGACGUCGGUUAGUAGGAAUAAUACCGAUUUGCGGAUUUAAGAAUUGUUCAUUUCGGUUUGUAUCGGAAGUUCUGAAUCUUGAUCCGUGGGAAUGGCCGCUGUGAGCCGAGCUUCCACUCGAAUCCCUCAUCUGCUUGCUGCACGGGGAGCUUUGUCUCUUCAUACCACAGCUCCGGCUUUGUCUUCCUCAUCCACUGCUUCUCCGACGCCGUAUGCGAGGCCGCUGCCUCCUUCGGCCUCGUCCCCGACGGGGCUUCCGAAGGCGGCUGAGUAUGUCAUCUCGAAGGUUGACGACCUCAUGAACUGGGCUCGCCGUGGUUCUAUCUGGCCUAUGACUUUCGGCCUUGCUUGUUGCGCUGUUGAAAUGAUGCACACCGGUGCUGCCCGCUAUGACCUCGAUCGCUUUGGUGUCAUCUUUCGUCCUAGCCCUAGGCAAUCUGAUUGUAUGAUUGUCGCCGGUACCCUCACCAACAAGAUGGCUCCAGCUCUUCGCAAGUUAGUUCUCUCCAUUAAAUAAAGCUUGUUGAUUCCUGAUUUUUUGGACCCGACUGGAUAAUUGACUGAACUACUAGAUUGACGGAAAAUUUUCAUAUUGAGAUCGAAGUUUAGAAUUAUGUGAUUUUUCAGUUUCUGGAGUUGUUCCUUUUGUCAAUUGCUCCUGGCCUGUAGGUUGUAGUGCGUACUUGUUUUGUCCAUCUAAACUUGUGAAGAUAUUAUUCCUGUCUGCAAUGAUCAUAGCAUGUUUAUCUUUUCUUAAUCUGGUAUGUUAUCUAAAAGUUUAAAGAUUUAAGUGGAUUAUACCAUUGUAGUUAUCUGCUUAUUUUCUUAUUUAUUGGGUCAAAUUAAUUUGAUUAAAUGUAUUGAUUGUCAAUAAUACAAUGCUUCAGCCUCUAUGUCAAUGGAUUUUAGGGGAGGUUCUUUUUCUUCAUUAUGAAAAACGGGUGGAUUACUUUCGAUAUAUUGGAUUACUGAAUUGUGCAGUGCUAAUUGGGAAAUUUAUCUUGUUAGGCCAUCUUGUUCACCUAGAUUCAUGUUAUUUAUUUUUAUGAAUUUUCACUCAUCACAUGACUUCCAUGGUUUACGAGGAAAAUUUGUGAAGUAAUCAUGAAAGUAGUUCCUGUACAGAGUUUUUUCACUUCAUCAUCUUGGCAUGGUGUCUGGUGAAUUCUGUUUGGGUUGAGUAAUCAUGAUUUCCCGAACAGUCAUCUAUUUAUAUCUGUUCUAUUUGUUCGAGUGGUUAAUGUGUCAAUGAAGCAUGUGACUGUUCUAUUUGUUUUGAAGGUUUCCUUUAUCCUUAUUAUUUUAAUCUAUGAAUUUGAAAUGUGCAUUGUAUAGUAAAACUUCCAAACACUGAAAUAUGUGAAGAAAGUAUAUGUUGGACAUCUUUCCAAGUUUGACUAGAAUUGCUGGAGUCAUUUCACAUAAGUAGCUAACUUCUAUGUACGAAUUUCUGUUUAUUGAGGAAAAUGGAACUAAAGCCUAGAGGAAUUCACCAAUUUAGAUACAGUACCCCCUCACUUUAGAAUUCUUAUUUUUUAAUCUUGAUGGGUAGAAAUGAAGUUUUAAUAUGACCAAGAGAACUCUAAAUUCUAUUCGUGAGGAUUUUCUUACGAAAAUGUAAUAAUGGGAUAAGAAGUGAGUCACAAUGAUAUGUGAAUUUCUUUGAACUUGUUUCAUUUAUAUGGUGGUAUUGCAUGUAAUUGUGGUAGACUAUGAAAUCCUUUAUUUUGAAUGAAAUAAGGUUCCCAUGCUUUCUUCUCUCAAUCCAGCUCUUUAUACCUAUGGGGGUUGUAGUGUGCUAGUGAGGUUGGCUUUUCAGGAUAUUAAGCUAUUUUCUAAAAAUAUCUCAUUGAAAUGGUGCAUGAAUUUGAUAAAUGCAAUAUAGACUAAAAUCCAAAUAAACGGAUGCUAUAGAAGCAAAUAAAAAGCUAAAUGGAUGCUAUUGAAGCAAAUAAAAAUUAUAAUGGAGGAAGACAACCCAAAUAUUAAUCCUUUAUCAAAGUUAAAUACCAUUAUCUCAUAUUUGUAUUUGUUUGUGUCAAUGUUUAUGUUGCUGCUAUGGCUAUUUUCAAUGUUUAAGAGUCCCAUCAAUGCUUGACCUGAAUGCUCCAUAACUUCAUUUAUCAAGCUUGGAACUCAGACUUCCUGUUGGUGGUUAAUGAACCAUUAUCUUUGUUGUUGGAUCUGAGAAUGCUACUAUAGUCUAGCUUCAAUUUUCUAAGUUUAGGGAAUCCCUUGAUUAUUACAUUGAAAACCAGUUUGGUCGUAUAAAUAGGUUAUAAUACCACCUGUUUAUUCAUUCCUUUCAAUGAAAACUUGAAGAAAGACUGUACUUAAUUCAUUGUUUCUGUAAUCUGUAGGGCUCUUCAACAAAAGUUGUGGCUUUUAACCCAACGGAUAACCAUGGUGGUUAAGGCCUUGGAUUCAUACAACUUUUACUUAUGACCGUUAGACAUUAAGUCAUUAACUGACACACAGGCUUUUAUUGCUAGCCCUUAGGUUUUUAUUUUAUGAGGCUCUGUUCUGAGAUUAAUAAUGUCUAUGAUAACAACAAUGGAAGUAUGCUUAUCAAUUGAUUAAGAGAUGAACAACUAGAUCUUGUCAGGCUGACUGCGUGUGAGAUCCUUUCACGACAAGGGAGGUUUUGGAAUCCUCUGAACUAGGCCGAUAAUUUUAUUGUCUGUUUAAAAUUUUAAAUAUUUUAAUUUUUCUGUUGGGUUUUCUGAUAAAUCAAUUCACCAUCUCACCCAAGCUACACUUACUCUUUGUUCUCUGCAGGGUUUAUGAUCAAAUGCCAGAACCGCGAUGGGUUAUAUCCAUGGGAAGCUGUGCAAAUGGUGGUGGAUACUAUCACUACUCAUACUCAGUCGUUCGGGGUUGUGAUCGAAUUGUCCCUGUCGAUAUCUACGUUCCUGGUUGCCCUCCUACUGCUGAGGCAUUACUUUACGGAAUCCUUCAAUUGCAGAAGAAGAUCAACAGACGCAAAGAUUUCCUCCAGUGGUGGACCAAGUGAGACCAUCCAUCCAAGUCAGGUAUUGCUCCUUGGUGGAUGCUUCAAACUACAAUAAGAACUGUAUUACAAGUUUGUGGAAAUGUAAUAGAAGAGAUUAUGAGUGAUGUUUCAAUAAGACCCCAUAACUGAUCCUCCUUGGUGAUGUUUUUUCCCCUUUUUCUGUUUAUCUCCCCCAUGUUAAAUGAAGCCUUUGCAUGGCAAAGAAUUAUAUGUAUCUCUUCAACUUUGGAGUUCACUAAACACUUCUGAAUUUUUCAACUUAGUUUAAUGUCUUCUGAUUUAUUAUUGUUAAUGCCAUUUUUCAACUUCUCUUUCCAAAAUCAAUUCUGUAAUCACCAUUUUGUUACUACUUUGUUUGAGGUUACUUUUAUUUACAAUUACAAUAGUGGAUGGAGAUAAUUGUUUUUCUAAUUAUUGAUUUUUAAAGAUUCUUUUCUUCCAAAUCUUAUUAUAUUCUUGAAUAUGUCAUUUAUCUUUAUUUAUACAUUCAAUUAGUUUGUGUUGGGACAUAGAUUAUGCAUUCUUUCUAAAAUAUUCAUUUACCUUGACUCUCACCUGUAGUUGUGAUUGUAAAUUAAGGAAGUGUUCUUUAUUUAAUAAACAAAGAUGUAGUUCACACAAUAGUAAACAAAGUCAACAAAUAUAAAUUGAUAGAUGAUUGUGGAAAAAACUGCACAAUAAAACUUAUUUAGAGGUCAAAAUGGCUAAUGAUUCUUUUUGACAUGUCAAAUGUUGUUAUGAUUGCGUGAAAUUAUAACAUUUUUAGUUUUUUUUUUUUCUUUUAUUCUUCCAGUGCUCGUCUUCUUUGAGUUGUUCUUCUACAAUUCCUACUCUUUUUAUCCAAUUUUGGCGCCUGUCUUCUUAGGAGUGAUUUUGAGAGAGAUCGAUAGACAGGGAGAUGGAUGAGACGAAAAAGAAAAAAAAUGAGCAAGAUAGUAGUGAUUUGUGAGUGGUAAAAGAAGAGAUGCAGGUAAAAGAUCAUUCAACAUUUUCUUAAAAACGAAAUCCUCUAACAUGUCUCCUCAAUCUUUUGAUCAUCCAUUAAAUGAUUCGUGAUUAUGAAGGGAUACACUUUAUUUUAUUUAUUUGUAGCUUUCCGUGAUAGAGAGAGCAGGAGUAUAAUAUGUGAGUGCAUAUAAUUUAUGCGUAAUUCACAUAUCCCAUUGCUUUUAAAAUAGAGGACCAUUCUAAAAACAAUUUUGUCAACUCAAACAAAACUUGGAGUAAAAAGAAGAAUAAUAUGGAAAAAAAACGUAUAUCUCUCAAAUAGGGGGGAGUCUAAUUGAUUUGAUAAUUAGGCAACAAGAUUAUAUCCAAUUAUUUUAAAGGAAUGAAGAAUCUGAUGUGUGUUUGUAAGGGAUGAUUAGUUUGUCCGAUGAGAGAAUGUUUAGAUGGAAAAAACAAAUUGUGAGCUUUCUAGUUUUUCAGUUUCCUAAUUUAUGGUAACGUUAUUAUGAAAAUUAAUGGAAGCAGACUUCUGUAGAUUAGGAUUUAGCUGAUUUUGAUUAAAAGAAAAAGACCCAACAGCUGUGGAAGACGAUAAUGGAGAACCCAAUGUUAAUGAACUGAUAAAGACAAAUUUAAGAUUCAUGGGUUGGUGUGAAAUUGAAUUGGAAUGGAGGGAAGGGAAGAAAGAUAUAAUUUUUUUGCUUAGUUCUGCAAUAUUAUUUUAAUUCGUUACGAAUUCAAAAUGAUCUUACCAUUUUCCCUCCUUUUUCAAAGCUUUCUUCAAACCCCGAGUAUCUAGGGUUUCAAUACUGUACUUUAUACAGCUUUUUCCUUCCACUUUGGUUCGUCUUUCGUCUUCACUACCAAAUAUUCCUCUUUCACUGCUCCAAAAAACCCAUCUCUCCGUUUCCCUCUGUUACUUCAAAAUGAAUGAAACCCGAUCGCACCUCCUUCAACUUCCAAACCAACUUGACCCAUAUGGGUUGAUGCUUUCUGAAUCAAUUGAACGGUUUUUCGAUGAAUAUCGAAAAGGGGUUACUGAUUUCUCUAGUUUCAUUCCCAUUUUCUCUCGUUUGCUUAGAAAUUUGCCCGACCCACCGGUGGCCGUCGUGUGGUUUUACUCUGCUCUGACUUUUCACACAGCUAAAUCCUCAGCUAGAGGUUCUUCGGAGAAGCUGCAGGCAGUUAAGGAUUUAUUCCAGCUCCUUGUUUCUUGCACGGAGUCUUCCUGUGCGUCGAAAAGAAUCGCGGUGCUGGCUCCGGUUGUUUACUGUCUGUUUGAUUUAGUUGUCGAGAAGAAAACGUCUAAGGAAGAGGCUGAGAAUUUGAUCGAUGGGGUUGUUAGUUAUAUCAGUAUUUGUUGUGGUCAAGAGUCCGAGGAAGUAGGUUGUUCCUUGGGGUUUGGUCCUUAUUUUCUGGAUUUGGCUCGUGUCUGGAUGGUGGACAAACCUGGAGAAGAUUUGAAGGGUUUUCUUCCGCUUGUUAGCCAUGAAAUUUGUCAAGGCAUCAGUAUCAAUGGUGGGGUUGGCUACUUUGCUGGGAUCGUUAUGUUUGAAGCCUUUUUGUUGAGGCUGUGCUUGAAAUUUUCCUCUCGGAUGUCAAUGGUAGAACUGCAAAAUGAACUCCACAGCCGGGCUGUUCAAAUGAUUGCUGGGUUUCGUAGCUGUCAUUUCUAUGGUGAGAUUUGAUUUUGGUAUUCUUUCUUUUAAUAUCACGAGACUGUUAAAUAACCUGGUCCUUCCUCAAUUUGUUCCUCGGCCCUCUUUUUUCUGUCUAGUAAAAGCACGUUAAGUUCUUAGUAGUCUCUAUUUCGACCUUCACAUAGACGCAACAUGUCUCAUAGAUGUUAGGGGCGUGUAUUUCUUUAUGUAUUAUAAGUAUGUUCAUCGUAUCUGCUUUGAUUUUGGUAUGCAUUAACUGGAUGCUCUGUUCAACUAUCCACCAUAUGUCCUUCAGUUGACAUAUAUGAUGCACGCAAACUAGGCAUGAAGCACUGAUAUUGCAAUAUUUAAAACUUUGCUAAAAGUGAAGACCAGGGAUGGGAGGCACAUAUUCUCUUUUGGGAAUCAUAUAAUUGAGUGGAUUGUGCCAUAUUCAGACAAAUCUAAUUCUGAAAGUAGUAUCUCUCUGUAUGUGAGGUAUAAAAUAAAAAUUCCAAUCGCUUUUGCGUGCACGUUCAUUAUGUUUUCAGGGCUUCUCUUGUUCGUAUGCCCUCUACAUAUCUGGAUGACCAAGCCUUUUCUAGUGCUCUAAUUGCAUCCGAUCUUUUCUCCUAUUAUCAAUGACUCUGGGUGCUUGUAAUCUGAAAUCUGUUGGUGCAUAUCAGAUAUUUUCCUCAGGAUGCUGCUGCAGUCAGUUUUGCCAACUACCUAUUUGUUGGUCAGUAUUUCUUUCUUUUAUAUUUAUUUCUGUGUACCAUGUUUGUAGUUUAUUUAUUUGAGGCAGUAGUAUUCCUACUUCUAGAUUGAUGGCUCUCCCUUAUGAGAUGUAGUUUGAGGUUCUGCAACUCUGCUACUAUCCAUCAGAAACACCAUACACGCCCAUGGUGGCUUAAGCUUGAUCAGAUACAUCUUUGGAAGUAAUAUUGCUUACUCAUCUUGAAGUGGUAAAGGGAAUAAAUCUUUGAUUUUACCGAACUGUUUCUUCCGUAGGGUUCUGCAGAUGAAAUUCUUCUGCGAGAAGUAUUAUAUGAUGCUGCAAUAAUACCAGAGUACCCAUUCCUUAAACUUCAAUUUGGAACUGAACGACCUGCUGCUGAUUUAAGAACUAUUUGUUUGAAUUGGUUAUUUGUUGCUGAUAAUGGUAUUCGUUCCUUUAGGUAUAACAAAUCAUAAUUCGAGCAUUAGCUACAGUAUCUCAAUUCUCAAUUUGAACUUUGCAAUGCAUGUGAUAGAAUGGAGUAAAAAUUUAUAAUGUGCACAUUCUGAUUGGUUCAGAGACACUGGAAAUCUGAGCAAGGCUAUGUCCUACAUAAAUGCCUUCCGCAAUUCUUGUUGGCCCUCUCAGUUGAUCAAUUGGAUCAGAAACCAGCCAGGCUUCAGCGAGAGGAUGAGUCAACCAAAUAUCUGCACACCCACGGCUCUUAUCGGUUAGUUUCUAAACAUGUACAUUGACUUAUGAUUCUAUGAGCAAUGUUUUUUCCAGUUUAUUCAUGUAUUUCUUUCAAUGAUAAUGAAGAUAUAGUUCACAGAACAUGAAAGUGACAUUAUGUACAAGACAACUAUUAUGUGUUGAGCUUGAUUAUAAGACAUCUAUACUGUGAAUCAUGUUUCGUGUUUGCUGGACAUUGGGACUAGCAUGGGAAUCGAUAUAUAUACAUAUACAUACAUAUAUAUACAUAUACAUACAUACAUAUAUAUAUAUAUAUAUAUAUAUGAGAUAACUUCUUAAUACUAGGGUACUACCACACUAACGAAUUUUGUCGUCAGCAUCCUUUGAGAAUGUUCUGAGGUCCAAUAACAUUAAAUAAUUCUUUAUGCAAUUUUUCAAUAUACAUGUGUAUUGGCAUGCUUUGAAUCUAUUAUCUAUUGCUUUGAACGACCUAGUGGCGGCACAUCUAAUUUGUACUUUUAUUUUGAAUUUUCGCUCUGAUAUAAAUUGUUCUUCCUUUUCUCAUGAGCAACAUGUUGAUUCUCUAAUGCUUUACAUUUUCUGUUAUCUGUAUUUGUUGAUUCCACCACAGUACGUUUGAUGUCUUUUAUUGACGGCUGAUGUUCAAUUUGAUUAUACUUCAGAAUGGCUUCUGGUAUUGGAAGAUCAAGGGGUGAGAGUGUUCGACCAUUCGAACUCCAAGCUCAGAGCGAGAGAAACCAUUUGUAAGUCGGAAGCUGAGUUUGUACAACCAGCAAAAGUUUCAGAUGGCAUGAACCUAGACGUUAAAUUCUUCAAUAAUGCUUCAAAUGUGAUGGAUGAAGAUCCUUCUGUUGGUGACUUUGACAUGGUUGAUUCAAUGGCUACCGCAGCAGUACAGGCAACAUCCAUUACCUUAAAUGGAAAUGGCAUUGAAAAUGGAAGAAAAAGAAAGGAAUGCAUGACUGACAAAGAGGACAUGAGGGUAAAGUUCCUUAGGCAACAUCUCCACGACAAUCCACUCAGAGAGAAAUCUUUGCCACUGGUCUGAUUAGAAAUCCAUCCCUUCACUGAUGGAAAAUAUAUAUAUAUAUAUAAUAUUAUAUAAGGAGACAUUGUCUGUAACACAAAUCUAUGAUACUAUGGAGGAAUUUUGUGCCUGCUCUGCAGCCAGCCUCUCGGCUAUUAACGUUUUCUUUUUGUAAGGCAAUACGGUCUUGAGAUUAGAUUCUUCAAAUCGAUUGUGUAAGCUUUUACAUAUAUAUUUGAUCAGAUGCUAAUCAAGGCAAGGCCAGUAGGUUGUAAACGAUGGAAAAUUUGCCAUAAUACAUAUGGUUUAAAAUAACACUUCUCUUCUAAUUCUCUCUUCUUUUGAGCUGAACGUGACAUGAAAGUAACGGAUUCAAACUUGUGAUAAGGUUAACAAGUGAAAGAGGAGUUUUACUUAAAUCAACUAGGUAAACAAAAAGAAAACUUAGAAAAUUAAAUGCAACUUCAAAGUUGACAAAAAAGAGUUUGACUACCCAAAAAAAAAAAAGAAAAGCUUUUUGUGAUACCUACUGCUCAUGAACUGAAAAGAUAAUAUUUUUAUGUAAGUUCUUAAUAAUGAAGUUUGAAGGUCACAUGUUUCCUAUGGUUUGCUCACAAGCAAUCCCCACGAUUCUUUUAUCUUUCAGUCAUUGUCAUUGAAAAUCCAAACCUUAGGGAUUCACAAUCUCUACUUUUUUAAAAUUAAUUUUGGAACAAAUAUGUAUAUAUUAUUUUCUCUGAGAAGUACUUGCAAUUUCACAAUAGAACGUGUGGAUAAACAAGUACACAUAAAAUAUAAGAAUCAAAGUCUAUGAUAAUACAUUUUUGUAAGGACAGAAGAAACAGUCAAAAAUAAUUAAAAAGUGUGGCUGAAAAAGUCAACUGUAUAGAUAGUUUUCUCUUUUUAAUUUAUUUAUUUCAAGUGACACAAUCUUAUGAUCAUAAGAAAAACAAAUCACUUUUUUACUUAAUAAGCAAACAAUCCAAUAAUGAAGUUGUGAUGAUGAUCAAAUUACGCAAUUGCAUGUGAAAAGCAUCUUUUAAGUACAUUGCUUUUUGCCUCAUGGAAAUUAAGGACCCAUACCCUAUUCACUAUUACAAUUAAUUCAGUUUAACCCAACUUAGAUCCAACAUUUUAUUUCAAUCAUUCCAAAUAUAAACUUAAAGAUCAAGAAUAUCCAAUAUGGAGAAGAAGAAAAAACAUGUAUCGUUAGCAACAGAUUCAUCAGAAAAUUAACCAACAACUACUCCUAUGUAAAUCUUCAGUUAUUUUACAUUGUACAAUCAUUUUCUUAGUUCAACAUAGACAAAAGAAAGAGAGAGAUAGAGGAAGAAAAUACAUAAAAUCUUUUAUUGAUAAAAGAUGAAUUAAGACAAUAUUUGUGGAAAUAUAUAUAAAAUAUAAUAUGAAUAAUAUGAUCUCUUUCUAAUUCUCCCAACCAACCAAUCCAUAAUCGGCCAACCCAAUAAAUAAGAACAAGCUAAAUUCAACUUGCAAAAAAACAAACCGACCCAUCAACUAAUCAUCAUACGAACAUUUAAGGAAGAAGAAGAAAAAAAAAGUUCCAUCCCAUCUGCUGCCGGCAGAGAUCUCCGCCGCCGCCACUAUUCAUGUUCAUGUUCAUGUUCAUGCUGAGAGGCAGUGGCAACCCCAGCAAGUUUUUGAAGAUUCAGUUUGAUGACAGUGUCGACGAACAUUUUGGUAUCCUCACCGGUGUUCCCUUCUGGUAUGUCAACGAUGUAAGACUCCAAAACGAUGGUGUAAACUUUGCUGUCUUUGUUGAACUCGUUCACCGACGUCACUGAUCGGUAAUUGUUCAGCCGGUGCUCUCCUCCCACCACCCUGAAGCUUAAUAUAUGCUUCUCAUCGUCCAAAAUCUCUAGCCUUUCUGUGCUCGUUGAUGCCGGAAGGCCGGAAACCACCGUCACCUCUCUAAUGCUGCCGACCCCGCCAUCCCCGGCUGUUUAAAACACAAUUUAUGGUUUGAAAGUGUAAACUAAACACUUAAUUAUUAAUUAAACAGAAAACUAAAAACGGAAUUGUUAUAAAAACAGAACACUUCCGUUUGUUAUAAAUAAAACAGACAAUUUGGGAAAUCACUUGGGUGAAUCUUGCAUGAAAACAAAACAAAUAAAACUUUGAAAUGAUUAAUAAAGUGCUUUAUAAUUAAAAAAAAGAAAAAGAAGCAAAGGAAAGAACAAGUAUUUUUAAGCAAAGUCUAUGAUGAGAGAAGAAUUAAGUGUGUGUGUGUGUAUAUAUAUAUACCUGACAUUUUGCAGCUUUUGAUGAAGUGCUUGUACUUUUGGGGAUUAUCGAAGCUGCGAACGAAAGGCCAGACGGCGUCGAGAGGAGCGUCGAUACGUUGGGUGAUGAGAGAAGUGGUAGUGUUAGGAGAAGGUUCAAAUUUGUGGUAAGUUUGAAUGAGGGGUUGAAGUUCUUGGUAUUCAUCAGCUUCUAAUCCUGGCAAAGGUGACGUUUUCUUCGCCGCCAUUGAUUCAAAUGAUUAUCACAAUCAAAAUAUUACAUUUAAAUGAAACAUAUCUCAAUGAGAAACACAAACACUCCAAUUUCGGGGAUUCUUUAACGCAACGCUGCUUUGAGCCAUUUUGCUGUGCUGACGAAUGGAUCUCUCUCUCUUUAUAUAUAUAAUCUCUCUUAAGCCAACACACACGAACUACUAGAUCCACGUGGGACCCACUUCCUCCCCCCCCCCCCCCCCCCCCAUUUUUGGACAACUUUGCCCUUCCCAUAUAUUUCCUAUUAUUGUUUAUUCUACUUAAUUCGAAAAAAAUAAAAAUAGAGAAGUUCUUCUUACUCGGACUACCCUGGUCAGGUUGGAAUGGAAUAUAAUUAAGAUUAUCGAAAAUCUUACUAAUGUUGGAAUAAGCGAUGAAUCGAGGAAAAACGAAAAUUGGUAAUAAAAAAGAGGAUUGAAUUGAAGACAUCGGAAACAUGUUAAGUUUGAUUUUUCAAAUUUAUAGCCCAAACCAUUAAAACAAAAGAGAGUUUCAUUCUACGGUAUAGAUCUCCAGACAACCUCUAAAUACUUAUAAAAAAAUGUUUCUGAAAGAAGAGAAUAAGAUUGUUAAAUAGUCGUUAUUAUAGUUUGUUAUAAGGACUAUAAUGUUAUUCUAUGAACAUGACAUGCAAACUAUUUUAGUUGAAUCAUACAUAAUAUUUUAAUUUGAAUUACAAAUGUAGAAAAAAAUUGAUUAAAAAAUAGAUGAUGAGAUUUUUCGAAUAAUUUCUUAUGUAAUGAAAUUGAGUGAACUACUCACUACAUCCAAAGCAAGUUGAAGACUCAAACACUAGUUCGAAAGUCAAAUCUAACAUUUCCUAAAUUCGUCUAGAAGUUAGUAAUCUCUUUUCGAGACAGUUGAUGAAGUUUGUUAAUAUCAUGUAGCAUGUAAGAUAUUAUACGAAUUUACUUGCUUCAAGUGCAAAACAAUUCAAUAUUUUAAGAGAUAUUUAUACAAGGGUAUAUAAAAGAAUUAUGGAAGCUGUGGAUAUAUUAAUGCAUAUGGUUGUAUUGUAUUAAUAAGAUUCUAAUCCAUUGACUAUGAAUGUUAAAUAACUUUUAGGUUUGAGUCUCUAUUGGGUCAUUUUCUUGUUCAAUUUGUUACUAAGUAGACUUUAAAAUACCAUAAAUUGAACUCACUUCUAAAUGUCAACUUUUUUAUUAAAAGAAAUACUAUGUCAAUCUGAAUAAUCUUAAUUCUAGCUAAGACUAUAAUUCUUUUUUUUGAAAAAAAUACUAAAGAAGGUUCCAAAUUGUUGGUAAUAGUGCAUGAAUUUAUUUUUUAUAUUUUCGUGUAUCGACUGAAUUAUUCGAUGCGACAAAUUCUUCUUAUUUUACUUUAAGAAAAUGCAAAUUUUGAUUUACGACGAAGUAUGGAAUUGAAUGUGUUGCAUUUGAUGGAGAGAUUCAAGGAACCUGAAACAUAUUCAUGAAAGGAGGCUGCUUAGAGAAGCUAUUUUGUAUGUUUUUAACGAGAGAAAAAAAAGACAAUACUAAGAGUCAUUUAAAUUUGGGUCUUACCGAGGUGGUGGUAAGUGGUAAGAGCAGCAGCAAUAGCACAACUCACAUUUGGGUUUUGACCAACAAAACAAACCCAACCAUUGUUAUUUAUCCAUCAAAUACUCGUAACAAUUUAAUUCAACUUUGCUACACCCACAUCGUCUAUCUAGCUAGCUGUCAUGUGGGGGAUCAAAAAAGGUUCAAAGCUUUCUACAGAUUAUAAAUGCUAUCCCUCAUAAAAGUUUCCCAUUUUUCAAUGCCCUGAGGACAUCUGGCUCAAAAAUAAGAUUUUUCAAUAUAGUCUCGAAUAAUGAAAUUGAGGUUGCUAACCUCACAAACUAGCAAAUAAAAAUUAUAGUAUAUAAAGCCUAUUGUGAUACACAAUUCAAACACAGCUGUGAGGGUUCAGACUUUUCAGACUCAAAUUGCAUAAUUCAUAAAAAUCAUAAAACGGAGAGAGGGAGAGAGAAUGGAAGGACUCAAAUGUAAAAAUAAAGGGAGCCAGUGAUCAACGUUGGAAAGGAAAAGGUGGAGAUUCGUGGAUCAUGUGAAAUGUAUAACAAACUCCUGCGUGAUCUUAACUCCUCUUUGCAGGAGUCCUCACACUUUAUUAACCUCAAAAAAUAAACAAGAAAAGAAUAUAAAUACAAUUUGAGAUCUAGAAACGAGUAUUGAUAAAGUUGGAUGGUUUGAUAUGAUAGAGCAUAGUGAUGAUGGGUUUGGUCAUCUUCAUCCAGUACUUUGUUUCUUGUAUCAAUAGAAAAGAAAAAAGAUAAAGAGAGAUUGUUUAGAGUCUGUGACAGACAGCUUUAAUCAUGGUUUGGUCUGUAAUCCAGAAACUUCUGGUUCAAUCUCAAACAUAGCCAAACCUUGUUUGACUUUCACUAUAAUAGUUUUACAUGAACAAAGCUUGGUUUCUUAUUCUAACAUAUCUUCAUUCUCAAAGUAGUGUUUGAAUUUGAUUAAUAUUAUAAUUUAGAUAGAAAAAUGGGAAAGUGGGGUCAAGGGAAGGGACAGUGCGGAGGAAACCCAAGAGUGAAGAAAAGAGAUCGAGAAGAGGCAUUGGAGGAAGGAGUAAAAAGGAGGGGGGGGGGGAGUGUCGGUGAGAUUACAUAAGCCAUUGAGGAUGAGACAUCAAUCUCGGGCUUAUAAUGUCUGCCUUUCUCUGUAUCCAAUCAAACUCAAUGCUGGUUUUGUCCCAACUCAUCCCACUAGGACUUGGGUUUUCCCGUCCACUUGCCUUGGAUUCCACCUAUCCUACCCUUUUACCCUAUUAUUAUAUUUCAGUCUUAAAGCUCUAGCACACUGAUUUCCUUCAGUUUCUUUUGAUACUUGUCAAAGGAUAUCUGGCACACCGCUAAGAGUUUUUUUCUCCCUUUUUUUCGACUUUAAAUUAAUAUAUCAAACUCAUCUUACGAGAAAACUCUCAAAAGAUAUAAUUUCACGAAACAUACAAUAUCUGAUUCUACACAGCCACACCAAGAAAAAACUUCAAGUCAUUGUCUUGAAACUAACCAUCCUUAUCUAAACGAUCGGUUAAUCAAAGUUUCUAUUCAAUUUCAAUAUCUUAUAUAGGGUACCUUGGAGUUUGAACUCAUUUCCCUCAAAGUUUCUUUACAUGCUUUUACCUAUCUUUGCACAACAAUACCAAUAUAUAGUGGCUAUAGAAUCAAAAGUUAUGAAAUAUACCUUGUAUCUGCAUUCUAAUCAGAACCAUCUAAAUAUAGAUAAUUAGAACUUAGAUCAUCUAAACAGUAUUUUUCUUUUAAAAAAAGGUCACUCACCUCCAAUAGUUACUUGGUAUGUACUUAAGUAUUAAGAAAACAAACUAAACCACUUCUAGAUUGCUAAGUUUAAAAUAAUAUUAUCUUGAAAGUCUAAGAAAUUCAAACGAUUUGAUUUAUCAAUUUCCAUGAUUUCGAGCAAGGACUUCCAGUUCCGACAGGACCAAACUCUUGUUCUGUUAUUCACAUCCAAUUUCUAUUCCAGAUAACCAAGGGCAAAGGGCGUUUGAAAGGACAGUACAAGUGUCGUCAGGUUCUCUAAUCAAAGGGUUUAUUUUUGUUCUUGAACUUCGUAUCAUUCCUAAACACUGUUGAAAUUUUGAUAACUAGAGUCGGACUUUUGGUGACCAGGUACGCUCAACUCUUUGACGAACUGACAUUAUGAAGCUGAUUGGUAUUAUUCACAUGGGACUGUCAAAAUAGCUAAGUAAUAUUUUCUCUACCAAUACCGUUUCAGAACUGAGAGCUGGAAUAAGUUGGUGUGCGCUAUCUGUAUAACGCACUUGUACAAUGGAUGAUUGGAGAAGACGACCGUUAGUGUCAGAAUGUUAAUUGGGCGCUUCCCUAAGAGAGUCCCUCUAAAUUUCUUGUAUAUCUAGGUGAAAAGCAGAAUGAAAGUGUUGGAGUGUUGGUGGAUGGAUGUAGAUCUUUUACUUGAUUGAACUACUACAAGGUUGUGUGUUGUCUCAAUUCUUUUGGUUCUGAUCGUUGGUAUGCCGUUGAGUAAGUUGCUUUGUUUUAUGAAAUAAAUUGCUGAUAUUUGUGUACUACUGUUGUUUUCCAGAGGCUUCAGUUUUCAUCGAAUAAUAAUUACCGAAGUAUAAGCCACAAUAAUAUCUCUUUCAUGGAAGGACAUAGAUAUAGUACUGGAAACAGUUUAGCUCCAACUUCAUACAAGUCACGUGAUUAAAGUAAAGCCGUGCUAAAUGGCUCAUACUACUGAAUAAGACAGGAAAACAAAGUAGCUCACUUGGUGACUACGUUCUGUGUGGAGAGCUUUCUGUAUCAAUUAACCUUUGCUUCGAGAGAUUUUCAAUUGAAUCAGCAAUGACUUUAGCGCUAGAUUUCAUGUAACCGCCUGGGAGUGGAAUUAAUAAAAAAAACAUUACUCCAAGAGACUAGAAAGGAGUCAGCAAAAAAAAAUCAAAUGGAAGAUAAACUUGAUCGUUUGAAGAAGUAUAAAAUGGCAAAAGUAACCUGUUACCUGAGCAAUCCCUCAUCGUACCAUAAUGUUUCUAUUUCCUAACAAUCAUAAUGUUCAAGGUACAAAUUUAAAGACUUUUUCCCAUCAUCGAGAUAAAGUUUCACACUACCAAGAAAUAUUCUAUAGUUGGCAAGAAAAUAAUUAUCGUCGUUACUAUGCUAUAUUUAAGGCCUUGGUCAUUUAAAUUUCAAGAUACCACCCCAUGUGAAAAUGGUACAAUAAUGAAAUUAACUUUAACCAUGAGGGAUAAACGCACCCAAUAACAUUAAGAAUUGAAGUUGAAUGUAAAUGUGACAGAUAUAAAUCCGUUUUAAUAAGAAAGAUUGCUAAAUAAAAGAAAGGUAUGAAUAUUAUGUACAUAUGAAAUUUAGAAUGGUCCCCAUUAGAUAUUUUACCACAUGGUCAAAGAGUUAGAAGUUAGUAUUAAAUAAAAGGAUUGAUGGGUGUAUUUUUUUAUAUAUUACAAGAGAGAAAGGUCGAGCAUAAUAAAAAAGGUGCAUAUUCAAUAAACUUCAUUGACAUGUUCGUGUAAGGGAAAAGACCUGAUGUCAGCAUCACAAUGGGAAUGUUCCUUGCACGAGCAAAUCUGAAAACCUUUUCAUCUCUCUUAGCUAUUCCCUCAGCACUAAUCUGCAAUCAGUGUGUAAUCCACACCACAACCAACAAACUUUUUAACCAAACCAGAAAGCACGGAAGGAGAAAUCAAAUUCUUGAAAAACUAAUUUGGGGGGCACAGUUACCUUUAACAAGCCCAGUGGAUCUCCAUCUAGAAUAUCAGUCCCAGCAUUGUAAACAAUUAAUUCAGGAUCAUAUGAAGUGGCAGCAACCUACAAUUAACAUGGUGAAAAUAAGCAGAGAGUCGACGAAUAGAUAAAUCGGUCAUUCCCCAACAUUGCCAAAUGUUACAAACCCAGAUGCAGAGUGGGGAAGUAGACGAUUCUGUUGCAUAAAGUUUGAAACCGAAGGGUAAAAGGCUAUAAGAGAAGUUUCAAUAUUUGGGCACAGUGAAGAACAUAUUUUUGUUUAGUAAUGAUAAACCAAGCUUCCAUUGAGAAAAAAUGUAAGAAAUAAACAAAGGUAAUUGAUAAACAAUUAAACUAAAAAAAAUGAAUUUAAGAAAAGCUGCCUACCUCGAGUGCUUCAUCUAAUUUCUUCAAGUAUUCACUUGUUGUGGUCCCACUCUGCAUGAGAAAACAUAUCCAUGAACACCCGAGCAACAAGUGAAACAAACAGAAUCUAUUUCCAUAACAAGCUUUACUUACAACUACUUCAACUUUCUGAUCAAUGCAUCUUCUAGCCUCAUAAUCCUGAUAUACGCAUACAUAGAGAGAUAGAGAGAGAGAGUCACAAAACUUCUAUGCUCAAUCAAAAUGGUAAUAGUGACUUUGAAAAUGAGAUGGAAAUAGAAACUUGGCAACUCUUAAAAAAAACUAACAAGAGGGCAAACACAAAACAGCAGAAUCAAUAAUUUUCAUCCACCAUAGAAUAUAAGAGCAAAGUAACUUACAAAAGGAUAUAUUCCAGGAUUGAACAUAUCAAGAAUAUAUACUCGUCCUGCUAGCAUAGAUAAAACCGUCACCAGUCAAUGAGAGAGCCAAUUAAAAUCUAUUACUGGAAAAAAAAAAGUUGGCAUACUAUCAUGGGCAAAAUCCAUUUCAUGGCCAUUUCCUUGAUGGGCAUCAAGAUCAAUAAUCAUUGCCCUGCAAACAUAGAAUAUCACCAGGAUAAGGCUUUAUUACCACAGGUUCAUAAGUACUUGCUAUGCAACAAAAUUCAACAAUGCAUGAGUUCUUUUAGGUCACUAUGGUGCCAAUUUAUGUACAGCAUACUUUGAUAUGUUAAGCUGAACGAAGGCAUAGUGUAUACACAGAGAAAUAUCUGCGUACACACAAAAUCCUCCUCCUCGUUCUGCUGAGCAAUGGUGAAAACCACCUCCUACAUUGAUGGCCCAUCCUUUCUCUUUUGCUACUUUUCCAGCUAAUAUGCUGCCUCCAACCUGCAGCAGGAUACAACAUUUACGACCCAUACUAAAUUUGUCAUGAAAGAAGAGAGAGGAAAAUAAUUUGAGAUGAACCCUAUAAUUCACCUGAUUACGAAAUGGACGUUGAACUUUCUCCUUGACAACACAAUGAGGAAACAAUGCAACAGGAGGGACCUAUAUUGUAGUAGUGCAAAUCUAUCAAAACUGAAAAGACUACAACCAACAAUUGAAUCUAGGAAAGGGAAAAUUUAAACAACUCAACGCAUAUUCAACCACUUAAAAAUAAAACAUCUGAGGCUUUCAUAUAUUACAAUUCUCACCAUGUCUUCUGAAAAAGGGACUUCAACUUAAAAUUCUAAAUAAGUAUGCCAACGGAAGUUCCACUCCCGAAAAGAAACGAGUAACUAGUAACCAUCACGGAGGAUAAUGUUUAAUAAAACCAAAUUAUAGCACAAAAGCAACAAGAUGACUCACAAAGCAAGAGGAUAUGAUGCAAUACCUCAAUAAUCUUAGCAACAUUUGAACUGUUCUUCAGACUAUUCAAGUAUGAUUCCGGAUGUACCUGGUCAAACAUUACAAAGAUAGGUCUUUGAAUUAUACUUCAAAUAAGCAGUUGCAAUUCAGGUUCGUGAUUUUUACAAUUUGAGAUUUUGUGGAAGAGCGCGAAUGUACCAAUCUACUCGUAGCACGUGCGUAUAAAGUUCACAACAAAAAGGUAGAACCUAAAAACGCACCACAAGAAGAUCAUUCUUCUUAGCUUCCAAAGGCUUGAUAAUUUGAUCUUUCCUUAAAACUCCAGCGGCAAUAAGGAAUUGGCAUACACGACCCCAUUUCUUUGAAUCAAAUGGAUGCCUAAUGACAAGAUUUCCAAGUAAAAACUAACCAACUUAAAAAAAAAAAAAAAAAUUAGAAGCCGGCAACUAAAAUUAUUAAGAAAACCGAACGGGAUUCAAACACAGGAAAGAAUAACGCGCCAGUUACUCACAACUUCUCUAUUCCAAGAAAUGAGAUGUCAUACGAUGACGAAUAUAUCACCGGAACCUGUUUUUCAACAAAACCCAGAAACAUACUUGAGUACAGGCGACCAGGAGUCAGCUUAAAUGCACACUGAGUUUAACCAAAAUUCUGGUCCAGUACCUUUGAAGAAGGAACAUCAAAAUACAGCUUGCUGGAGAGAAUUCGGUCCCUUCGGACAGCUUCCCCAUCGUUCGCAUCCGGAGACAGCGAAGAGGACAUGCCCCGAGUGAAGAAAUUGGAAUAGCAGAAAAGAGAGCGAAAGAAUGGCCGAGAGAGCUCGAUUGUGGGCACGGUUGAAAAGGAGUGAAUGAUCAGCUGCGUGAGUUCGUGGGUGGGUCGAUUAGAGUUGAGAAUCCGGGGCGGUGAAUCGGUAUGACUCGGGACCGUUAACUUGGAUUUGCUCGAACCAAGUAUAGAUUGGGUCCAUUCGGAUACAGAAUUUUCUUUGGAAUUUUCGAGGCGAAAUCAGCUGCAAUUGGGAUAUUCAAUCGGUCAGAGGGAUAGGACAUUUUUGCCGGUGACCAAUCGGACAGUUACCGGUCAUCUGUUGCCACGAGACUAUGGACUAUGCAUUUGACAUUCCACGCUUAUAUUUUUCGCUUAUUUAAUUUCUCAAAACUAAUUUUAUAUUUAAUAUUAUACUUUCAAUUGCAAUUUAAUAUUUAAUAUUAUACUUUCAAUUACCAUUUUUAUACUGUGAUAAAAUACAUCAUUGAAGAUUCAAAACAAAGAAAGGCGCCUGACCAUAAGGGAGUUGUGACCACAAGAGAGUUUUAGGAACAAAGACCCCUAGUUAAGAAAUGAAUGAAAAAGUGUCUAAAUAAGGAUAUUGUUGCAUUUAAACAUCAUGAGUAUAUUCGUUGUGUUCGUUGAACAUAAAGAACACAAGCACACAAUAAAGAAAUGAGUGACACUCCAAUGUGUGAAAACACUUGUAUUAUUUUGUUUGAAUGCAAACACGAUCGCAAGAGAAGAAUGAUGAACAUAUGUACAAAAGGGAGAAUCCUAACUAAAUCAUUCUCAAUCUUCUAAAACAAGUAGUCCUUUAAAAAUCAAACUUGUAAAAACUAGACAAGUUUCUAUAAUUUGUAAAUUCAUGUUUAAAAAAUGUUUUUGUUUUUAUUGUUUAGUUAACUAGGAAUUCAAGUGUUACCCCAAUAGAAAAACUGAGAAUAGCCCAACAUAAAGAAAACAAAAAAAUUUGUUAUCAACCUCGAUGCUGAAGCUUUCAAAAUAAUCAAAACAGUGUCUCAAUGUUGAAGUCCAAAGUUCAACAGUAUGAACAUUUUCUCUCUAAGUUGCAAACAAGAAUGGAUAGAGCGCCAUCACUCAGCUGAUUCUCAACUACAAAUGUUCAUCCAAAUCUAACAUUCCAACAGGCUUUUUAUACAAUAAGUACCCAGAACAAACCAACCAACCAAAAGGAGAGAAAGCGACAACAGACCAAUCAAGAAUGGCCAUCCAACCAUGGCAAUGCCCAGGCAGACCACCACUACAAAGGGAAGAAAUGAUCUUACAAUUGACAUUCCAUCUACCCAAUGCCCCUUGAACAGAAUUAGAGCUGCUACAUUUAUCAUGUUCCAACUCAUCGAUCCAUCAUAGCAAAGACGGUUCAGACAAUUGGCAAUAAAGGAAUGGCAGUUGCACGUAAAAAGGUUGUACGAUUUAUGCUCAAAAUACCGUGUACUUGAUUGUAAGCCAUCGUCCCAAGUAAUGGCAGUUCCAUACUGUGAAUGCUGGUAGCCCUGCUUACAUUUAUGUGCAGCUAAGCUCGUUGGGAAGCAACACUGAAAAAAACAUAAGGUUUCAAUACAUUGUUAACGAUCCAUCAAAGAAUUUUACACUGUUUACAGAGAAAAAAUAACUAGUAAGAAGAUGGCAUUAAAACCAAGGAAGAUACCUAACAUGGAAACAGAAAAUGGUUUCAGCAAGAAACGCACAUAAGUUCCGUUAAACUUACAUGAGUGAAAUUUAUGCACUUCAAUCAGCAUUGUUAGGAAACAGGGAUUAAUUUCAUGAAAUAUUUAUGUAAACCGAUUACUAUUAACUUACUUUUUCUCGGUUGAGUUGAUGGUAUCUUGCAACAGAGCCAAAUGCUAAAUCAUUAAUAUUCACAAAAUUCGAUCCUGCAAAAUCUAAAGUGACUCCAUCCUCCCUGCAAAUCCCAACAUGACCAAUGAAAGGUGCCAACCAAGAGACAACAGGAAGAGGUGUCCAAACCAAACAGCAUGGAAACUUUGCUUGACCAGGGUCAAUGGGAUCUAGAGGCCAAAAUUCAUGUUUUAUACUCUCUGUAGAACUGAUAAGUUCGACAUCAUAACCUGCUUGCGGCUUCAUUUUAGAAUACCUUCCAGGUAGCAUAUAGAAGCUUUGUUAAUAAUUGGAAAAGAAGCAUCACGCUGUCAAACCACACACUGGCAUAAACUGAAUUUGCUCGCAGCUAAAGAAAAGUAGAAAACAACCAAAUCUGCAAUUGCUUCAUCAUUAUGGAUGCAGGGUUCAGAGAAGUAAUCUGUUACAACCCCAAGACUUUCUCAAAAGGAUGAACAAACAAGAGUAUCUAAAGGCAAGCAAAAAUCAAAGUUGAGAGUAAUUAUUCAAGAACAUUACAACUAUCAGUUGUCAGUCUAAAGUAUUGACAGACAUAAGCCAUUUCAAAAUUUAAUAAAAAAAUUCCAAUAUCUAGAUCCAAUGGCAAUGUAAUCAACCUUCCAUUAAGAAAAACUACACAAAACAACUAGGCGACGAAGAAAAUCAAGAAAAGACAUGUUACCAAUAGUUUCAGUAUAAAGUUCCGUGGCUAAUCAAAUAUCAGAGUUUCAUUUUUAAAAAAUUAAUCAGGUCAAGAAUCUAAGAUAAGAUUAUCCUGUAUCAAGCGCCAACCAUUUGAAGACACACAACAUUUGUUUUUUAAUUCUCUAACCCCAGCUAACUUCAAUUUAAUAUUACAUAUCAUUCCAAAAAUUAUUAUCCGCCAACUUCUGGAUUUGAGAUUACCCCAGAGAUCGACGAAAAAACCCUUGUCGCCAAAUCCCACAAUACAAUUACAAAACUUCCCCAUCUAUUAAACACAUAUCAUUUCACGAUCUAACGAUGGUUGGUCAACCGAUUUCAAAAUCAGUCAACAACGAAAAACUUAUCCAUUAUCGACUUUGAUCUCUAGCCCCAUCGGAUAAAAUCUAAAUUCCUGCCAUCUGAAUCUUCUCACGCCCCUAAAUCAAAGAUUUUUCUUAAGCAGUACCCAGCAUUCUGAGAUGGAAACCCAGGAAUUAAAAUCGGAGGGCAACCCACGAAUUAAAAAAGAUCCGAAAAACACGUAAUCAUCACAGCCUUUUUUGUUAUACCCAAAAUAGAAGUGGCAGAAAAGUGCAAAACUACUAAAUUUAGAAGGGAGAAGAAACUCAAUUUCUCAGACUGCUCAGUCAGACACAGAAAGAUGAUGGAAAAAAAUCCCUCAAGAUUUGAGGUAAUUAGAAGAAAAUAAAUAAUACAUUGAGAAGAAGAAGGGAAGGAAACAAAAGAAAUUUUAAAAAGGAAGAAGGAGUUGGUUGAAAGGAAAGACAUGAAGGUGGAAACUCACCGGUAAUGGGCAGUAGAAGAAAGCGGGAGAUUCAGAAGAUUGUUGAUGGAUAGGAAUUGAAUCCCGGCAUGAUGGGUACAAUUUAUUCGGAAAUCAGAGAGGGAAAUUAUUGAAGAUUAUGAUAAAUUAUCAAUAUGUUGAAGAAAUGAGAAAUGGAAACUACUACUGUUUUUUACUUUAUUUCUCUUUUUGUGAUUGCCCUGCCAGGAAGAGAAGGCGGUUGGGUUGAAGAGUUGAAGCGGCAGAUGCAUGAACCCAUUUUUUUAUUUUACCCUUUUUUUUUCUUCCUAUUCCCCCAUGUGGGACCCAUUCUCCAUAAUAUCUAACCUUUUUCUUUUCUUUUCUUUCUUUUUCCUUCAACUUAUAAUAUGAAUAAAAUAUUUCUAUUAGUACAACAGUUUCAAUCGGAUUAAUUCAAACAUGUGUUUUUAUUACAUUAGAAUUCUAAUUUCAUUUCAUUACGGAUCAUCAAAUACCAUUUUUAAAAUAUAUAUUUUAUCGGUACUACUUUUUAUAUAUUUUUUAAAUUUAUAUAGUUUGUUUACAUUUGUUUGUACAUGUUAAUAUUUAGCUUUUUUAUAUCAUUUAUUUAUAUUUUUCAGUGUUCCUAGAUGAUGAUUAAACCUAAUUUUGACUACAUGUUAAAGUAAAUGGAAAAUUGAAAUCUAUUGGAAGGCGUGAAUGAUUCUAACUUGUAUUCCUUUUUUAACCACAACUACAUAACAAAAGCAAACAAAUUACAAGUGACAGUGAGAAAGCCAACUGAAAACCAUGCACAUUUGAAUUCAUUCAGAGCUUGGCACCCCCGGAAAGUGGGCUGCAAAAUGUGCUUUCCUAGCACAUAACUCAAGUCCAUAACAAUGAUACAUAACCACUAGGUGAUGGGAACAGAUUAGUUUGGAAUGGAUAGCUUCAACCAGUAUCUGACAAUCAAAUUCCACCCAAAAAGGAGAAAGACCAUUUUUGAAUAAGCCUUCUUCAAACCAAUGAGAAUAGCCUUAGCCAUAGCUUCAGCAAAUAACACAUCUAUUCCACUUUCCAAAACCUCCACAAAUGUCAUAAUCAACCUCUCCUACUAAUGCCAGCCACACCCAAUUUUGAACCAUCAGCCUUACUGGAUGUGUCACAAUUAAGCUUCAACCUACGAACACUGCAGUUGCCUUCCACUUCACACCAGAUCGGCAACCCACCUCCCAAUUCCUCACCACCAGCAUCGGCCCUAAUGUAAAUAUGAGCCAACGGAGUCCACCACAGCCAUAGAAAAAUGAGAUUCAACUAGCUUUAAUCUUUAUAACUAUGAUGCAAUUUUGUAGUUCCAAUUUAAAAUGAAUUCACCUGUCAAUGUUUUCGAUUACUCCGAUAACCAACUUUAAAAACUACCAGUAACGUAGACCUGAGUGUUUUUAUUUCAAGUUGUUUUUAUAGAAAGUGUUUAAACGAAAAUAGUUUUUGAAAAAUAUUUUUUUUAUCUCGGUUGUCAAAUUCUUAUGCUAAUUAAUUUUCUCAUUGACCAAAUACAAAAAAAAAAAAAAAAGACUCUUAGAAGCAUAAAAUCACAAAGUAUCACAAUCAAAAUAUAUAAAAAAGAUAAAGUAAAGUAAUUUGGAGAGGGUGUAAAAAAGAUCAGUAAAAUCAUAAUCACUUCAUUACAGUAAAAUUUCAUAGCAUGUCAAUGCUAUACACUAAAAGAUGACACUUAUUGAUGUUUAUAUCGACAUCCAUCAUUAAUAAAGUAUCGUACUAUAUUAAUAUCUAUUAAGAAACAAAAAAAAAAAAGCAAUUUUAACUUAUUCAUUGACCUACAAGUUUCUUGAUUUAGUUUUGUAAAGUAAUUUAUACUUAAACUUCUAACCACAAGAUGUUGUGGAAAGAGAUAAAUGUAUAAAACGAUUUUCAAACAUGACAUUUUAAAAUCAAUUCAACUUCUUAUUCAUUCCAAUAGAAUUAUCAAAGAAAACUCAUCAACUAUAUGCAAAUCUAAAUGAAAUACGGCAUCGCCAAAUAUCUUAUUAUAUAACACACACAAAAAAAAAAAAAACAAAUAAAGCAUCUCACCAAGUGAUGAAAGCACAACCACUCCUAGAUAGUGCUAUAGAUUGUUUGACAUUAUAAAACAAGAAGAAUUUAUGUGUGUGUAUCUAGCUAAAUACUUUUUGUCACGCUCCACUUAAAGCGUGUCCUUUUCUCGUAUUUUCGAGUGCAAAUACAACUUGGACGACACCAUCAUCUCUAACGAAGUGCCAAAACACCCAAUCUUAAACUUAACUUCUUAGUAAUAUGCUUGACAAUAAAGAAUAGUAACACAACAUUAUUAAUAAUUAGCAUACCAUUGCAUAUAUACUAAGAAAUAUAUAUUAUUUGACAUUUAAACUAUGGUGUUUUCUAAAAUCUUGAGCUAUGUUAAAAUAAUGUAAAAGAAAAGGCAGAGUAUAAACUUUACAAUGGGUUAAACCAAUGUGUGAUUGCGUAUAAAACUAUAGUUUAAAAAAUAUAUUAAGAAAGGAAAGAUUAAUCAAACAAUAGGGGCAUUAGAAUGAAGAUCACGGAAGAAGAUCAUGUUCCCCAGGUCCACAGAAUGCAUCAGGCUCGAAAGAUCUAGCGGAUUCAUCGCUAUAAACACCGGGAAUUACUCUGCCGCCACCGUCAUUCGCUGCAGAUUUUCCGGUGAAGAAAGGCCCUAGUAAUUCUCCUCCAUCAAUGUUGAUGAGCACAACAAUGGACACAAACAGAGACGCUGCAAGGCUAACCAGGGUGUACUUCAGCCUAUUCAGCACUGGCUUCACCUAUUUUAAACGCUAUAAGGUUUCUAAAUCGCAACUGAAACUUGGAUUUAUGGAGCGGGAAAUUGAAAUCGGGAUUGGUUACUUACAGUGUAGGAACCGAGGAGGCGAUCGCGGGCUAAAACUUGGGCGGUUUUUACCCAAAUCUGCAAACAUAACCUUUUAAUUUCAGGGAUGAAAUGGAACCUUGAUCCUAUGAGAAGAAGAAGAAGAGGAAGAAGAACUGUCUGAGUGUACCUGCCCGUCGUACCAUCCGGUCUCUUCGUCUGUAUAAAGGAAAUUUUCAGAACGGUGAUUUAAUUUUUUAUUUAACAAAGAACUACGAUUUUAGUGUUGGUAAGAACACAGAAGUUAGGGUUUACAUUCGACAGUCGCACUGAGGAGACGGUUACCGACGUAAGCCCAGCCGAGAUACAUCCUAAGAACAGCAAUCGUGACGAACAAAAUCCCACUCGAAACAGCGCAAAGAGAUAGUUUCAACGGAUCCGAUUCAACUCCCACGGUGCCGAACCAAGCAACCGGAAGCCCUAUGAAGAGAGCGAAGGAGGCGCCGGUGGCGACCAAUCGAGAACAGAACUCAACGAUGUCUCCAGCGGCCCAUGAGAAGGGGAAAGAGGCGGAAAGAGUCUGAUAUUCGUUAAUUGGCAGCUGUUCCGGAGGAACAGGGCAGCCGGUUUCCGGUGGCACGUUGCUUCCUUUUCGGAAAGAGAAUGAGAGGGGCAUUCUAGAAACGGAAUUUCUGAGGUGGAGAAGUCUAGUGUUUGUGAACGGCGAAAUUAAUGGCCUGGAGUUCGGCACGGACAGAAGGAAAGUCGGCGGCGAUGCACUUCCCGGGAGUAUGUACAUGACUCCGGCCAACGGUUUUUUUCCUCUGUUUCUGGUUGCCCAAUAAUUCCCUAUCUAAAACGAUUAAGAUUUUCAUUUUCAUUGAAUGUCAUUUCUUUCGUUUUGUUUUUUCUUCUCUUCCUUUUCUUUUUAUUGUUUGAGACUAAAAUAUUUGUAGACUCAAUUUUUUCAAGAAUAUUGAAAAAAUCUUCUAAUCAUGCACUACAAAUUCUUCCUGAUAAAACCAAAAUCUUGUUAACCAUUUAAAUAGAACUCAGCCAUUGGAUUCCAUGUUUGAAUGAUAUUAUCUAAAUUCCUAAAAUUGUUCACAUAACAAUUAUAAUUUAGCAUACAUCUAAAUAUAUUCUUUGUAUAAACAGCAUCUGAUAGCCCAUUGUAAGUAGUAUAGGAGAGAACUAGAUAAAUGAGCACAACAACAAAAAAUGAUAUGAAUUUUGCUUUUUCAUUUUUUUUUUUUGUUGUAAGGGUUCUGGUGGGGGGUUAAAUUUCUUUUACACAGUAAUCUGUAGAGACCAAAUGUUUACAAUUCCCCAAAGGCCUCCACAGGCAGACACACAGCUUGAGCUUGGAAGUUAUUAUUUUGCCUUUUUUUUUCUCUCAUUUUUUUUUUCUUUUUCUUUCUUUUUUCUCCUUGUCUUUUCUUUUUCUCUCUUUUUUUCCCCUUUCAUUUGGGAAAUUUCUUACAUGUGAAUUUAAUACAACCUACUACACAUUAAGAACUACAAUAUAUAAAAAAAUGGUAAAUCCCUCCACUGCACUUUUAACUUAUGCAGCUACCUGUUGUUUUGAAGGAUUUUUCCAUUUUUCACUCCUAAAUAGGUUUGUGCUCAGCCCCCACUUUGAAUGAACUAGCACCUAACCCUAUUUAGUUGUGUUUUCCAAACUUCACUGAAAAAAAAAAAAGAAAGAAAAAAAACCAACAUUGGCUGCUCUGGCUCUUCGAGCCAUCAAACAACUUCAAUUUAAAUGCAGAUAAAUCUUUUCUGUUCACUCCGAUAUUUGAUUCCCGGAGUCUGUUUUCUGAACAAGCCGUUGCAGGCGCCGCAAUCGAGUAAUAAGCUGAGAAAACGACGGCCUCAAUUGUGAGUCCCUGCAAAAAGGAGUGAAACUUCAAGAUAGAGAAGUGACCCAGUGAAUGAUAAAUAAUCACACAAUGAAACGAACUGCAAAUAUGGGUGAAAUGAUACUCUUGAGACUGCUUAGGCCCCAGCUACAGGUGCAGUGGGCUAUUAUAUAGCUCACUCAGUGUUAGUGUUUUCCCUUCUGUGUUUUCAAAAUUAACAAUAGUAAUAUUAUUUGAAAUCUCUCCUUGUCAACGAUGUUUACUAAUUCCUACCCAUCAUCUCUUCUUUACUAGUAUUUACUAUUUUCUAUCCAAACUAAACACGAACUAUUACAACUUAUUGACUAUAAUAACUAAUUCAGUGUCUCAAAUGCUCCAGUGUGUAAAUUGUACUAGUACGGAAAAAUGAAAGCAGAUGGGAUGAUCAUCUAUGAAAAUAAGAAAAACACGAGUAUUGGAUGUUAAGCUUACGUUUGCCAACAAUCGCAAAUGAUCUGUGCAACUGCUGGAUCAACAUCUUGUGGGAUUUCCAGGCGCCUAUUCUGGAAUCCAACAGCUCCUACGACCUGCAUUGGGUUCAAACCUUUCCACGGUAUGCGGCAUGUCGUCAACUCCCACAAUAUUACACCAAAACUAUACACAUCACACCUGCAUGACAUAUAAGGCAAUGUCAAUAUCAUGUCAAAUUUGAGCAAAAUAUAUGUUUCUCCAGUUUGAUGCCUUGUCGAAACUUACUUUUCAUUGGCUGGUUCAUUCCUUAGAACUUCUGGUGCCAUCCAUUCAGGCUACAAUUAAGCAGAAAAAAAUUAGCAUGAUUGAUUACUAUUGCAAAACCAGAUGUGCAAAUUAUGAAGCUUGCAAUUUGAAUGAAAUAGUAAGGUAGUAUAUCCACUUUCAGUGCACAACUAUCAAGGUUAGUACCGUUCCAGCAGUUGAUUUUGAAGACAGAAAUGUAUUCUGCUUCACACGUGACAAACCAAAAUCGCAAACCUAUGAAUCAAUGGAAGUUAGAUACUAGAAAAGAUCAAUCCCCCUUAAUUGGAACAUACAAAAAAUAGUAUCCAUAAAAUAGUUUCAAAUACCUUGACAACCCAGUUUUUGUCAACAAGGAGAUUGGGGGACUUUAGGUCUCUAUGAACAAUAGUCGGAUGACUUGUGUGCAAGUAGUUCAUUCCUUUGGCCUGGAAAAAGAAAGAUUUAUUAAAAGGAGAUUACCAUGUUUCGUGGGGAGAGGAUUUUUUUCCUAACUCCUUACCACAUCAAGAGCCAUUUUCAAUCGUCUCCUUUCAUCUAGCUGAGAGUUGGGCCGAUGCAGUAACCUAUACAAACUUCCCCUGCAAUGUUUGUUGGUACAUAGGAAAAAGAUUAGGUCAGGAUGGAUAUAGCUUGACUUUCUUUAGAUGCAGCACCAUACUCAUGCUCAUGAGGCUUCUCGACAAUGACAUAACUUGUUACAGAGAUAGCUAAAAGGAGUGUUUGAGGUAGCUUGUAAAAGCAGUAUUUUUGGCUGAAGCGUAACUAUAAUCACUUACCGAGGAUAAAAGAAAACCAAGUGCUUCUUCAAACAUAAGUGUUGGCCACUUAGCCAAAUACAAAUAGUUAGGUGAAAGAAUACCCAAGCUGGAAAUAAUUUUCUUGAUACCUUUUCAGUCUUCGCUAAUAGAACAGAAUACAGUAAGAAUAUGAAUACUUAUGCAGGUUUUUCAGAAGUUUAUGCUUCCUUAUGUGUGCAAUCUAAUAUAAGGCGACAAGUUGUAUCAUCCCAAAAAAUUCCCUUCAUAUUUGUAUUAACAUAACAAUUUGAUUGAAUUCAACGGUAGUUUUGAUGAUAACUGAAAGUAAUUUGAUAAUAUGCAUAAUACCACAUUGACUCACAGCUUCUCGGUAAAAGAAGUAAAUUUGAUACAAACUCAUGGCAGCAAUAAAAUUACACUGCAGCUUAACUUUUAGAACACACGGCAGGUAAUCUUUAGGCUAAAAUGAUGUUAAAGAAGAAGGGGUGAAAAAGCAAAAUAAUCAACCUGGGAAGAAACUCUGUAAGGAUAGAGAAAUGAGGAGGGCGAGUCACAGCUCCCAUGAAAAGGACAACAUUAGGGUGCCUCAACCUUAACAUGAUUUCAACCUGCAUGAAUAAGCAGAAGCUUAACAUCUGUAAAAAAAAGCCCUUGAAGAGAUUGUUAUCAAUUAACUCAUUUCUCAAACACAAAUUAUGGCCAGCUGCAAAUAUAGCAAACUGCAGAAAACAGUUGAACACACGAGGACAAGUCUGGAUAGUAAUCAUCUUAAGAUAUAUGUUGAUAAAUGAUUGAAUCGACACUAUUUGAUUCAGAUGAUGUUAAUGUCUGAUAGAUCCAAAAAUUCAUCAAGUAACCAGAUCCAGCCAGUCAUUGAUAAAAGCCCAUCCUAAUGGAUUGUGAUUGUGACCAUCAACACAAGGUUCUUUUUUGUAAUUCAAAAUACCAAAUUAUUUAGACCGAGUCCUAAUCAAGCAUGACAUACUACAACCCCCACCCAACAAAUCUUCAUUCAAUUCCCUCAUCCCAUGUUAAAGCCACUGAAGUAAUUUUUUUCCCAUCUUCAGGCUUUCGUAACUAAUUUUAAUUGUUAGCUAAAGUUAUCUAUUUGUUCCAUUCUGCUUUCCUAAAUUUCCCCUAUUUGAUGUUUUCCAAUUCCAAACCAGGGCAUUCAAGUCUUAGAAGUGUUCAUUUCUUGGGUUGGAAAAAAAGCCUGCAUUUGCAUGUACUUUAAGAAAAAUAUAGAUAGAUCCAGCAAAUUUUCCAAAUAAAUAACCUAAAGGUUGGACCCCGCAACUUACUUCACAUUUUAAUUGAACCAAAGCAGCACCAGAAAAAUCUUGAUCCAAGAACUUCUUCACAGCAACUUCCUGUAAUUUAAAAUAUCCAAAUUUAACUCCAACUCGAACAAAAAUAUUCAAAAUACAUGCUCAAUAAGAAAGUUAGUGUUCAGCCUCCCAACAAAGAAACACGUUAAGGAUUUAUUCUAAUAUUGCAUAUUCUUAUGCAUGGAGGUUUUUUAAGCAAUAAACGAAAGAAAAACUAUAUGAUAUGACAAUGCAUAUGCCUAUAUAGUGAAACUUACAGUGCCAUUCCAAUCUGCUCGAUAAACCUCGCCAUAUGAGCCUGGGAUACGAAGAAAACCAUUAUUUUUCAUUCCAAAAAAUUUAUCAAGAAAGACAAAACUGUGAAUAGAUUGAAAGCACAAAGGUGAUUGAACAACGAUGUUCACCUUUUAUAACAUUAAGAAAACCAAGAACUUAUUUUGAAAGCAGUUUUCAGAAUAGCUUUCUGUUUUUUGAAACAUCAGCGAAACACAUUUAGAUAACAGUUAUUUUACCAGCAUCCUUUUCUUCUUUGAUGACUCCACAGUUUUAGUUUAACAGAAACUAAUUGUGGAUUACGAAACAAACCCUUUCAGCUAUGAAUCAUUAAAAGUCAUUAUUAAACCUGCAGUACAUAUUCCCCUAAAAUUUGAUUGGACCCACUGAUAGCUUAAGGAAGGGUUCUAGAGAUAAACACACGACCGAUGUGAAUUAGAUUCCUAUGAUUUAGAGAAGUUAGAAUUUAGUCCAUAUGGUUUUAAAAGUUAGAAUUUCAUCUUUAUGGCUUUAGAAAAACUCAUGAAUAGUUCUUAGUUAGAGAGUCUCAUUUCCUAAUAUUUUUACGAGGGUUAUCAGACCAUAGGGACAAAAUUAUAGUUUUUAAACUAAAGUUCAAGUUCUAAAUUUCUCCAAACCAUAAGGCUCAAAUUUGUAAUUGAACUCAUUGAGACUAGACAUGUGUCUUACCAAUACCAAUACGUUCACCAAUGUGAAGAUCCUCCCAAGGAAUUUCCCAUUCUGCAACUUCACCUAAUAUUGGGUUAAUUGUCUCAUUGUGCUCAUCACUAGCAUGCAGUUUACUAUCAUCAGUUUGUAACAAAUUUUCAAGUGGCUUUUCACACAAAUCAAAGCAUUGAAGAGUUCCACCGCUCUUAUCUUGCAACAAUCUUCUUUCUUCACUCACUAAGGCACUUCCUAGUUUCUUAUGAGAGUCAGUAUCAGAUGUCAACAAAACAUCAUCCAUAUGUUCACGAUGAAAAGUUCCAUUAACAUCAACCAAUUUUCCUGCUUCACCAUUAACAUCAACAAACACAAAUCCCUCGUUUUUCAUACUGUGAGGCCAAAAAAUGCUGUGGUUGUUGGCAUUUGUAUUGGCCAUUUGUUCUUCAGACAAUCCCCCAGAAGGCACUUUCUGUUUAUUUUCAUGGACAACGUUGUUCAAAUACUCCGCUUCAGUAGAAGUAGCAGAAGACUGUCCGUGGCUUGCUAAAAUAUAGGAGUGGCUCUGGAGCCCAACAUCUAUCCCUUUCCCAUUGAUUGGAUACAUUUGAAAAGUUUCUUUGCUUUCACCGUUGUCCUGUGAUUCUAUAUCUGAAAACAAAUCUGCAGGAGGUGACGCACCACUCUCUAACAAGACAGCAUGUAAUUUCUGAGCAAACUCUGGGUUCUUUGCAGCACUUAUGACAUACUUUGACACUUUUUUCACUUUCUUCUUUUGUGCAGAAGCGGACUGUGCAAAUGCACCCAAUGAACCUUCACAGGCACUGCUUUCUGAUUCUAGAAGCUUUGCAAAAUCAUAACCGGAACUCCCACUUUGAAUUUCUUCAAUAAAGUUCCUAAUGUUUUCUUUUGAUUGAGCAUCUAAAUCUGAAGCUUCUUUGGAUAUUAAGUUGCAAACAUCUGCUACUUCAUCUUGAGUAGAUGAAAUUGACACUGCUUCAGCUCCUUCAUUUUGUAAUAUUGGAGUAUCUUCGGGAACUUCUAUAACAUCUGCUGGCCUUCUAUCAAAUCCAUAAUUCGAAAAUUGACCGCUGGGCGCCUCUGAGGGAAUUAACGUGCCCGGAGCACCCAUAAGAUCAAUAAUAUAUUCACUGCAUCAUAGAAUAAAACAUACAAAGAUAUUAGAGCUUCAAGUAAUUUUAUAAGAUAUUCUUAGACUAGAUUAGUAUGAACAUAAAAGAUCGGGCAAACACUUCAACAUUUUUUUACAAACAUACAGAACAUGGAGAGCACAGUACAUUAGUUUCCAGAAAACCUAGAACCAGAAGGGAGAGGCUUUUUGUGUGUGGGUGGGGAGGGCAUGAGGCACAGGAUUAGGACAGUUGGGGGAAAGACGUAAGAUAAUGUUUUCCAAUUGGCAAAGGUACCCUUACUUUUGUAUUAAAUUGAUGAACCAUCAUGGGUUGACUCCUAAUGGUAAAAAAGGAAACAUAGUCUCAGUAACUAGCUAAGACGUCAUGGGUUCAUUCCAUAGUGGUCACCUUACCUACGACUUAAUUUCCUACAAGUUUUCUUGACACCCUAAUGUUGUUAGGUCAGACAAGUUGUCCCGUGAGAUUAGUCAAGAUGCACGUAAGCUGCCCAAACGCAGAUAUAAGAAGAAAAAAAGUGACUGCAUUUCAGUAACUACGUUGAAAAAUUUUCUGCAAAUCCAUCCCCUGUCCUAUGCCUAGUUGUAAUCUACAGCAUGAUCUUCUUUUUCUUUUCCAAGCAUAAACUACAGUAUUUCUAUUGCGCAAAAAUUAAUUAAACCAAGUCAAAAGGAAAAAAAAUCAAUGGAUGCUAGUUUUUGGUUAGAUGCAUCAGAGUUGUGUAGCCAUCCUAUAUGCAUUCGUCGAGAAUCGCAUGGGAGUAUUUCCUUUCUACUACUGAAUGAAAUGUUAUCAUUACAACUGAAUAAACUUAAAUCAAUAAAAUGGAACCGAGAUGUGAACAGCAGCAGAUUGAGGAAGAAAGAAGGGUCCAGAUAGAGAAACCCACUAUAUUUCUUUAGAUAUUGUAUACUAGACUAAAAAGAGAUUCAACCAUUAAUGAUUACCUUCCAUUAUCAAUUUUGAUCAUGUUCACAGCUCCGUCAUCAGUACCAGUGUAGUAGCUUCCUUUGACAAGUAUGCAUGGAAGAUUAAUCCUAUCAGCUAGCACCUAAUACCAAAAUUAUGAAGUAAGCAACUUCAACCAAAAAUAUGAAAGAAAGAAAAUGAUAUCAGCAAGAACUACAACAUUUCUGAUAAUUGUUCCAAAAAAGGGCCAAAUUUUGAAAAGCCUAAGAAACCAGGAUGGCCAAGAUUAUUAAAGCACAACACGUUGGUUCAAGAAAAUAAAUGGUGAAAGGUAUAAAAUGAAGAGUUUUCAACCUUAAAAAGCAAGGCUCUAUGACGUGCAAGUCCAAUAUCAAGACGACCAAGUGGUAGAAUAAUAGUGUUCAGAGAACUACGCAUCUCAUAACUCCUGCGUGUCCACCUUCUCAACAUUUCUUCAGCAUCACCAACAGGGCCACCCAUUCUAGCAACAACCAUAUCAGCAAUUUUUUGAACCAGGCCACUUAAAAUGAAGCCAUAUUCAGAAACUCUGCAUUCCAUGAAUAUGUUAUAUGCUUGUCUCUCCAGCUGUUGAAGCUCAGGAUCAAGCAAGCGGUUUACCAAAAUCACCUCAUAAUCAAUAUCACUCGUCACACAUAUUUCUUUAAGAUCAACUAACAGUGGCAUCUUUCCACGGGUGCUAGAACUUGCAGUAAUGCCAUAUAAGUCAUAAAAUCCAUCCAUCACUUUCUCGUCAUAAUUUACAACAUUAUAGCUCUGCAUUGGUAAAUAAAAUAGUCAUGCAAUUGCUGCUGCCAUGAAAAAUAAUCGAUAACAAACUGCACUUACCAAUAUGUUCACAAAAUGAUAACACGGAAAUAUAGAUUUGUGCGCAUUAAAGAAGUUAGUAACUAAUACUUAUAUAAUAAUAUUUGAAGGAUGUAAUUUGAAGGAUAAUCCCAUUUCCUUCAAUUUCUAGCAGUCAAGAUAUAUUACAAAAUAUUCCAGGCAAAACAACUUCAGAAGAAAGCCUUAAUACUCAAUAGUAUCAUUUCAAGUAAAAAUUAUAGGUUGAUCGUUGAUUCGGAUAACAAGACAAGGCACGGUUUCCAAGGACCUAAACCAAAAAAAAGAACUGAAGGGUACAUCAUUGAACACAGGAUCAUUUAAAUUAGCAAACUAACACUGCACUCAGCAAUUUUGCAAGAUAUAUGCACUUGCCUGAGGAGAGUGUCAGGUGUAUGUGUAUACUAAGUGAUGAAAAUAAAGGAAAAACUUCUAUUGAUUCUGAAUAUUCUGCAUAAAAACAAGUAAUUGGCAGUUUUGACUCCACAUAGAAAAGAACACAAGUAACAAUCAAACCAGACAAACAAUCUUAGAACCAAACGUAUUGGGCCGUAACAAACUUGACAUGCGAUAAGACAGGCACAAGCCAAAAAAUAACGACUUCCUAAUGGCAAAAGGGGUAACAACCAUAAAAUCAUUAUCUCUGGAACAAAAACCACAAUAAAACUUAUAUAACUGAAAGACCCACAAGGAGAAGUUGUGCUAAAAAAUGAAAGUAAAGUCAUGAAAAUAAGGAAAUUUCAAACAAAAACUGCACUAAAAUUGACAAACUUGGUCCCAACCUCACUCUGAAAAUCAUAAAUCAAAGUGAAAAAGCCCCAUAACAAUAAUUCCCCAAUCCAGUAGCAAUCCAAUGGACUGAGAGUUGCAAAAAGGGGAGGAAGUUUUGCAUCUACAUCCUAAAAUGGAAUGCGAUGAUUCUCCAACUGAUAACUAUGCUCCAUUAACUAUACUUCGGAAAGAGUAAGUUUCCACCAAUCACCCAAAAAUUGAAAUAAAGAUCAGAACAGAACUCACAACAACAAUGCAGUAAUUGAUCACAUGACCGCAAAACAACUCAAGCAAUGGAGAGUACCUAAGAUAGAAGAUAGAAGAUAGUAAUUCCCCUACUCGUCUAUCAAACGCAUAACCUAAUAUUCAAAGUUUAUGAAAACUGAAAAUGAAACAUCGCUAAUCUAAUGGCAAUUGUUCAAAACUUCAUUGCCAAGAAGGGAGAACAAAAAAUCCCCAGAAUCGAAUGAUGCAUAGUAAUUGAAACAUAAUCGAAAUUGCAAUUCGCAGUAUUGAACAAUCAAUCAAAACCUAGAAGAUGAAUAAUGGGAACAAAAAACUGCCCAAAUUCAUUCAAAAAGCUCGAAGGCAAGUUAAAUGGAAAAAUACCCAAUACUGAAGCGAGAGGAAUUCAGCGAGGGCUUUACUGCCGGAGACUGAAGGCGAACAGCCAAGACUCAUCCGCUUGGCAGCAUCGAUCUGAGCUGAUUCAGUAUCUUGUCUAGAAUCAGGAUCGGAAGCACUAAUCGCCAUAGCCAAUUGCACCUGAAACUCCUCUUCCAAGGCAUUGAAAUCCACGCACCCACCGCCCACAUCCCCAGAAGCCGCCGGAUCAACGACUGAUUCAACAGCUUCCAAUCUCCCCAUUGUAGUAGAAGACGCCAUAGACAAAGACGAAGAAGACCCAGAUGACGACGAACCCGAUGGAUUACUAUUGGGGCUUGGGCCUGGACUGGGGCUCGAACUUGGUCGUGUUACAGGUCGAGCAUCGCUCAAUCGCUGAUGCUCGUUAAGUCCUCCACCGAUGUGAAGCUUUCGAAGAAGAUGUUUCAUUUUCGACAUCGAUCAUCAAGCCACAACACACAAAACUCCUUCUCUAUCUAUCUAUCAAUCUCUCGCUCUCUCUCUCUCUCUCUCGCUCUCUCUUUCUCUCUCUAUCUCACUGGUCUCUUCAUACACAAGGUUCACAAAAACGCCUUUUUUUUCCCCUCUUUUUCCUUCUAUUUUCCUCUAUUUCUAUCUCUAUUACGCUAAAAACCUACGCUCAUCUUUAACUCUGAAAAACCACAGAUUCGAAUAAACAUGGCUACCCUUUUCUUUCUUCUUCAAGCUAACACCCACUUCAAUACACUUAAAACUCCUCACCAAUUCCCUCCAUUACAAUCCUACACCUUCCACGCCCUUUCUUUCUCUUCUCUUCUCUUCUCAAGUCAAUGACGCCAUCUCGAUCCUCUGCAAUCACAUACACCAUUCUUCCAUUUACCUCUCUUCAUCCUGACCCUUCAUUUCUCCCUCCAAGUCCACGCCUUUAUGAGUACCCACAUGAAAUUUAUCAAUUGGGUCCCCAAAUCUGUCGGUUAAUCUUCCUCCCCACCGUCUGAUCAACACAAAUAACUCGAAUUCAUCGAUGUAAAGAAGUAGAGAAUUGAAAAGAAACAAAAAAGAAAAAAAGAAACAGUCAGUUUGGGGAAUUCUUAUUAGUUAUUAUUAUUAUUCAAUUCGGAAUCUUAAGAAAGUAAGCGAAUCCAAGUGUUAGAAACAUCAUCAUCAUCAUCAUCAUCUGAGGUUACAUGAUAUGAUUUAAUUGAUACAUAAGUUUGCUAGAUAGAAAUGUACCAAAUCAAGAAAAAAAUCACACUUUUCUUUUCCUUCUUUUAAAUAAAAUUGUAAAGUAGUCACCAGCACCACCCUCCCUUUAACUUGAAAUUCAAAAUUUGCCUCUAUUUUGACUUAAGGAAUAUUAUAUUCACAAAAUGAGAUGUUGUUAUUAUAAUUAUUGUUUACAUUUAUUUGAAAAAUGUGGUUAAGCACUUAUGAAAUUAGAAAAUAGUUUUGUUAGAUAGAAUUUGAGGCUGAUGAAGCCACGUUUGUGUGGGAGGGAAUUGGAAGAAUAAAAAGAGUAGGGUGAAGCUGGCAUUGCAAGGGAUUUGCCAGCUCAUUUCUUACGUGUCCAUAUACAUUUUCCAACUUUGCCAAACCUCGGACCAUAUAAAUUUAAUAACCACAUUUCAAUUCUUUCCCUAACUUUAAAUUACUUUCCUUUACCCUUAACCCAAUCCUCUCCUCACAACAGUUUAACAUUUUUAAUUACUCCUCAUAUUUACCAUAUUUACAAUAAACAAAAAAGAUGUAUCAUGAACUGAAAAUAUUUAAUGAGCAAAAUUUUAAAAAUAUAGAAACUUGACGAGUUAUUAACAAUAUUACUAAAAUAUAAAAUUUAUUAUAUUUGAUUUUACAUUUUUGUUUUAAGAUUGGUUUCGAUUUAGAUCAUAAAAACGUAUCACUCCAUAUUGAUUCUCGUAACAAUUUAGCAUAUAGAUAUGAAAGAUUUAUCUAUUUAACUUUUAUACAUGCUGGGUUUUAGUACUGGAAGGGUUGAAGUUAGUGCAAUUAAAGUAAUUUUUAUUAAUAAUAUAUGAUUAAAUUUGUUUUCAACCGUAAGUUUAAACUUUUAAAUAAAUUAGUGGUUUAAUAACAAGCAAUUGUCAAAAUUAGCAAAUUUGACAAAAUCUUUAUAACACAUAGCCAAAUUUAAAAUUUUAACAAUAAUAAAUAUUGAUACAUUGAUUAACAAAAUCUAUCAAUAGUAUAAUCCAAAGAAAUUUAUAACCAAUAAAUAUUUUAAUUUAAAAUGUCCCUUUAAUAAUUAUAAAGUGAAAUUUUAAUAGUAAUAAAAAUGGUAAAUUUUAAUUAAUUGGAAGUAGAUUGAAAUAAACUUAAAACUUUCAUUGAAACUAAAUCCAAUGGGACGAAAAAGAUGUUUUUCCUAAAUAUUUAAAAGAAGAAGUCAAUAUCUGCACUCGUAAUCUAAUUAAAUGGGUAAUGAAGGGACAAAAUUAGUUUGCAAAGUUUAGAGUAUAAGCCAAAAAUACAAAUUUAGAGAGACAAAAUAUCUUGGGAUAAGAGGAGAGUGGUUACUAUACAACUUACCACGUUGAAGUUGCCACUACCACAAAUAUUACUAAAACAAAUACAAGCAAUUUCCAUUCAAAGAAUAGUAAGAGACAUAUACAAUACAUGAUUUCCAAAUUAAUGUGGUAUUACAAAGAUUCAUGUGCAUUCCUAAGUAUGACUUAAUUAGUACAAUAAUUAAUGCUCAAUAAUUAAGAGAAUUCAAGUAAGAUGUUAAACAUCAGUCUCAUGAACAAUUAUGAGAGUCGUAUACGGUAGGGAUCGUGAGCUGUGUGCUGAUGUUGGGCCUGGAAAAUCCAUGAACAUAUGAUGAGAUUUAAAUCAUUGCAGAUGAAGCUAAAUUGUCAGUAAAAGUAGGUGAACCAAAUCUCAAUAUUUAAGCAUAGCCAACCAUUCUGAUUUCGUGUAGUGUAUAAUGUGUCUUAAGCUAACAUGACACUAAUAAUAUUGGAAUUAUGUUUGAAAGAGUUGUGGUUUGAUUAAGCCCACCAUAGAUAAGAUUUCAACGAAAGGUAUGAAUGUGAACACAACCCAUGUUUCUAAUUCAAAUAGAUUAAAUAUUAACAGAAAAGCCAUGGAAAGCAAGUAGGCAACCAACCAAAACUUGGGAGUUUAUAGCCACGAAGUUGGACAAGCUGUUGAUGUUCGCCACCCCAAGAUUUGGUUUCUUCCAAAGCACCCUGCAAUUGGGUCAAAUUUACUAUCAUGUAAUACCAAACAUGCAUGAAAAACAGCCAUUAGAUCAGAAUCAUCUCCAUGGCUAUUUAGCCUUCAGGAUAUAGACGUGGAUCAGCCAACUUCUCCUUUCUGAAUUGGAGCAAUUGAUAUCUUCUCGUAUCAAAACGAGCUUACCUGAACCUGUCCGAAUAAACAGUCAACGAUGUAGAAUCUGCUUGAAAUGAUAAGCAAUAAAAGCAAGUUGAACAGUGAGGGAGAGGGGGAGAGAGAAGGAGAGUUGUUCCUCUUGCAAUGGAUGACUCUUUAAUUUCAUUUUCCAAUGGACACCCAAUGAGAAGAGUGCCUAGAAAUGGCCACACAUAAAUUGGUGCGAGAAACCUGUGGUCCAAUUAAAUGUUUGGCGCCACAGAAUUAUUCAAGCUGAAAUUUUGGUAUGAAACAGCAUUCAGCCAGAAUUUUGAGAGUUAUAUGGUUCAAGCAUUUCAUGGAAGAUGUUUAAAGCAAAGGGAAAAAGGCUAUGAAGCCAGAAUGUUGAAAUUUACGUCACCCAAUCAUUUCAUGUAUGACUUUUUAAAUUGAGGAACGGAAAAAGGUUAAGGAGCCAGAAGUUUGAAAGUUAUGUCAUUCAAUGAUUUCAUGAAAGAGAUUUUUUUAAACUGAGCAAAGUGAGGGAGAAAAAAGGUUAUAACUAUUAGAGCACUGGGUAUAGGAGCUCAAAAUAUGUGGGAAGAGGAAAGUUCCGUAGAUGUUAUCGACUCACCACAAUGACAUGUUUGAAAUUCGCGUUUCUCUCCAUAAGAGGAAAAGCUCUUUAAGGGAUCGGUUUGAUAUAAGUAAUGUCUCUGACCUAAAAAGUCACACGAAGGAAACAAGAGUAAGGACCAGGAGGAAGAUCGCAAAAACUAUUAAGAAUAUAAAAGUUGUGACCCACUAAAUAUUGUUAGUACUUUGCAUUAAGAAUUACAAUAUUUGAUGCCUCAGUGAACCUCAGACUAUCCCAUCUAUACAUUAUCUAUUACAGUUUAAGACGUUAGCAAAAUUAUCACAAACCCUGUGGAAAUAUGAAGAUGGUACCAAGCAGCUGUGGGAACUAUUAUGAAUUAAAAGGAAUGUGCGAGACAGAAAAACAACCCAUAGGCAGUAUAACAGCAGAAUAUCAUCCACUAACAGGAUAAGAUAAAGACGAAUACCUUCGUAUGAUAUCCAAGUAUUCAGAUGCCUAUCUAAUGGCAUAGCAAUUUGUACCACCAGAGGCAAAGAUGUAUAAAAUACAUAAAGACUUGCUUUUAUUCUUCAUAUUGAUAUUCCAUUUGAAAGGAAUUAUGAGGAGAAUUUCAUUUAAAACAAAGUAGUACGAGCGGAAAUAGUCCAACAAAUUGUAGUGAUGGUCCCGUCUGGCCUGCAAAAUUUUAUAACAUCAGCUGAGCAGUUCAAAUGCGACCUUCUAUGAAAAGUCAAUGUCAAUGCAAACAAAUAACAGAAAACUCUAAACUUCAGUAUUCCAAAUGGCUAUGACAUGCGAACAAGUUAUUUCAUCUAAAUGACAGAUACAAGUGUACUGAAAUGGAUUAAACGAACUAUGUAGUCUCGUAAUAAGAAAUCUAACUCAGUGAAAUUAGAGCUUUUCGCUGUUUAAAUCCCUUUCAGCAGAGUAUCAUCCGUCUGAAGUUUAACGCUAAAUUUGCUCUAUUUCUUCGUUUAUUGAAGGAAUUUUCCAAUGAAAGGGUAGAGGUAGCGCAAGCAUAAAAGAGAACUCAACGGUAUAGCUUUCUCUUAUUUUUAGAGAAUUGAAUGAACCAAAUAGGAAGUUGAUCAACUUCAAAAGAAAUAUCGACGUAUCAGCAAGGGGAAAGCGUUAAACAAAGUAGAUUCUUCAGAACUUCUCGUCAAAGUUGUAAUUCAACAAGGAAUAAAACUUGCCUGUUCUUUCAUAUACAAAAAAAAAAAAAAAAAUCGAUAAAUCUAGAGAACAAGUUUGUUGAUUACAUUUCUGGGGUUGAAUCAAAGUUUUGCAAAUUGAAUCACAAAAUAACUUCAAACAUGGUCAAAAGGGUUGGCUGGCCAAUUACAUUCCAUUAAUUAUACAAUAAUUUUACAGGAUGAUACAGACUCAUACUUUCUAAUGUGUUGCUCCUUCUUUUAUCGCUGCCAGACGCAGAGCAGGCCUCCCUGAAAAAUCAGCAUUCACAAAACAACUUAGAAAUCCAUCGGUGCUGUUCAGAGCGACAAGAAGUCGCGAUGGGUUAUCCUUAAUUGACUUCGUCAUUAAAGAAAGUAAGAUUCGCACCACGAAUUAAGCAAAAACCUCCAUAGCCAUUCAUACACCGCACUUCAGCCUUCUUCAUCCCCCAUUCACCGGCCGGGAGGCAUCAACAUUGGUUAGAUUUUUUAAAGGCAAAGGAUACAAGCGCCUCGAAAGAAGCCGGUAGACUCUGCUUGGUACUGAAUCCGAUUCAAGAACUAUAAGCAGGCAAUGACUAAAAGUGAGGAGAAGGACGAAUCAUAGCUCAUAUGCCUACUAGAUUCGACCAUUACAUUGAACAGUUGAUUUUCACCAACUGAAUGCCUCCGGCUCCGCCCAUUGGUCGAUUAUUUUCAGUUUACAUUUUUAGUAUACUAUUUUUAUUUUUCUAAAUGCAUAAUAAAUAAAUUCUUAAAAGUAAAAUUUGACCUAUUUAAUAAAUUUAUUAAAAAUUAUAAAAUCCACAUUUACUUUUUCUUUUUUAAUUAUUUUAAAAUAUCUCAUCAAUAAACAUUUGGUUGACUCUUAUUCCAUCUAUUAUUUAUAAACAUUCAAAUUCUUUAUAUAAUUUUUUUAUUUUUGCUAUAUUUUAAAAUAAUGUGGGUAAAUAUAAAAGAAUUAGUCGUGAAAAAAAUUCUUUUAAGAUGAAACUUGUGUAAACUGGUCUCUCUUUUCAAUCGAUUCAAAUCUAUAAAAGUUGUAUUCUCUAAUUGAAUUGUACUAGCCUAUGUCUUUUCUUCUUACCAUCAUUGCUUAGUUUUGAUUCUUUUCAUUCUUCUAAUGUAAUUCCAUAAUUAUUUGUUUUAGAAAAACAAUGUGAAAUAUAUUUUAAAAAACGUGUGCUUACAAAAUUGAAAAAAAAAAUGAUUAGAAGUUGCUACGGUCUUUAAUUUAAUAACAUAACCUACUAUCAUGAAACAAAUAAUCAAAAGUUAGAAACGUUCAUGUAAAUUUGAGCAUGAGUACUUUAAACAUUGACGAAAUUGCAUAUUUUCGCAAUUAAAGAUUCAAUCAUUGAAUUUUAUUUCUCAAGCAAACAAAAAAAAAGUGUCUCAACAAGUGUGAAGAAGGCCACAAGAAAGCUCCAUCAGAAGAAUGGCAGCUUCUUCCUCAUCUCUUGGAAACACUUUCCCAAAAGCCGAAGGGCCGCUACCUGCAGUAGUAGUAGAAGUAGUUUUGCUCAAACGUAAUGUGAAAUUAUGAGUACUAGCAAAUGAGACCUCGUUAUUCAUCAUCCCUAUUUCACUUUUAGACUUUAAAUUAUUGUUAUUUGAUAUAUGAUCAUCAGUAUUAUUAUUAUUAUUGCAGUACUUGUCGUUGAUCUUCACUUGAUCACCAACGUUAUUAUUCCCACCAUUGUUAUCUCCUUCGCAGCUCAACCUCGAUUUCUUCUCCUUGUGCUUCUCUUUCUUCCCCGACGUCGCUGCUGCCUCGGUCGUUUCAGCCACCAACCCCCCACCGCUGUUUGCAGCUAAAUCCGCCAUCGCUCGCCUUGCUUUCCUUUGCCGAAUCCCACAAGCAUUACAUAGUGACUGCACCCAAAAGAAACCAAAACUACAAUCACAUAAUCACCUCAAAACAAAGAAAGGCUAUCCCUUAAAAGAUUAUAAAAUUCAAAGUAAACAAUAAUAUAUCUCAUGUCAUUACAGAAAUAUAUGAAGAGAAGAGCAAACAUCUGUUCCAUUUUGAAACCUCUUUAACAUAAAUGAGAUUUAAAAUAGAAAUCUCAUGUUAUAUUUAGUCUGAAGAAACAAUCUUGAGAAGGGUUGUUGAGAACCUAUGUUAUUAAAAGAAAUCGACUUUUACAAGAAACACAUUAAACAACCUAGCUAAUUAUAAGAAUGAAAAUCAAAACCUACCACCACAUAAAGCAUAAGUACUUCAAAUGAGUAACUUAUGAUUGUAUAUGAAUAUAGAAAAGGCAAUAAAUUUUACCAUAUAUUCUACCAUUAUUAUUUUAAAUAUUCACCACCUAAAGUGUUUUCACUGCGAGGACUGAGACCUUUGGAAGGAAAAUUCUGGAUUAUGGUAAAAAAAACAAAGAAAUGGGUCAACUUGUUGUAGAUCAGUAUGUACAUGCAAGGCAAAAACAUAAAGUAAUUAAAUUUGUCAGAGAGAAGAGGGGUAUGACCUUAGGGCCUUGAGGACCACUGCGCCAAAGAGGAGUGGUUGUAGUGUUACAAUCACUGCAAACCCUAACACCAUUGUUUUGUACUGAUCCAAUAUUUGAAGAAUUACAAGAGAUUGAUGAUGAUGAUGAUUUGCCCGUCAUCGCUUCCCAUUUUCCACCGUUUCCUUCAUUGUUUAUACUGUUGUAAUUUCUUGUAGCUUUUUGAUGAUGAUCUGAAUUAUUUGCACCACCAUGAUCAGUACCAUUGAUCAUAACUUUCUUAUAAUUAUGGUUUGUGUUUAUCAUCAUCUUUUGCAUCAAUCUCAUCUUUGAAGACAUCCAAUAUUUUGUUGAUCCAUUAUGAUCAUCUUGUUUCUUCAUCAUAAUUUGAUGGUGAUCAUUAUCAUCCUCCUCCUCUACUUGUUUCUCUAAUAAUCUUGAUCUUUCACACCCCUCCUUCAUGCUAGAUGAUGAUAAGAUCACUUUACUCUCUUCUUCUCUUGAUCCACCAAUGAAUUUUUCAUCCUAUUUAUAUACACACAAAAAAAAAACACACAUAUCAGCAUAUAUCAAAGCAAUCAAAACCCCAUGAAUAACUAUAUUAUAAAUUAAAUAAAGAAUAAGCAUAUAAUAAAUAUAAGAGUAAUUCCUGAAUAUGGGUAUUAGAACACAGUAAAAUUUGACUUAUAAGUGCUGAAUUUAUAAUGGUUUGUGGGAAUUUAACAAAAAAGAAAUCAAAUAUUUUGAUCAAGAGAGGGAAUUAAGUUUGUGGGAAGUAAUAAUUGCCUGGUGAUGAUGAAGAAGAAGUUGGUGGUGAGAUUGUUGAAGAAGAUGAUGGUGAAGAUGAAGAUUUACUGUUUGAUGAUGAUGAUGAUGUUGAGCAGUAGUAGUGGGAGGAUUAGUACUAAAGCAAUUGGAAAAAGCAAGUUGUGAGGAUGAAUUAGAUGAAGAAGAAGAAGAAGAGAAAAUAUAGAGUUUAAGGUUGGGAUCUUCUUGUUCUUCUUGUUUUUGUUUCUCCACAAAGGAAGAUGAUGAUGGACAGAGAGGGUUAUUCAUGGGAAGAAGAAAGAGAGAUCUAGAAAAGAGAGCAAUGGAGUUUGAUUAUUUGUGUCCAGAAAAGUGGGCACUUGGUGAUAGGGUAAUGAAACGAAACAAAAGGGCUUGAUGGGGGAGAGACUCUAUAAAAGGAAGACAAAUUUUCAAUUUAAAAUAAAAAUAGUUUCACAUACGUCCGUUUUGUCCAUCUUUUUGCACCACACUCUACUGUUAUACGAAAAAGAAUCAAGUUAAGAAACACUAAAAGAAUUUGUUACAUAUAAUAAAUUACGAUUAUACAAUCAUGCGAGAUACAAAUAUAUACAAGUAUUUUUCUUAAAGACCAAUGAAAAAAUAUAUAUUCACACUCCUAAAUUACGAAGUUGAAAUAUCAUUCAAAUUUAAAAGACAAGUUAAGUUGCUUACUAUAGUUACUAAUCAACGAUAAUAGCUAGUAAAAUAUAAUAGCCUAAGAAAAUACCAACUAUUAUCAUUGGAAUGAAGGCUGAAAAUCUCUCUCUAAGUAUAUCAAUUUAUAUUCUCUAUCACGUUUUUUUUUUAGGAAAUGAUUCACAUAUUUAUACUAAUAUGCAUUAGGGUUAUUAUUAUUGGUUGAAUAUAUGGCGGUAUAAUUAAAUAGAUAUUUUAGAAAUAAAAAAAAAAGAAGGAGGAAAAGUAGAGUUGGUGAGAGAAGUGCUUCACGUGAGUAAGGUUUGGUUUAAAGGGGUUUCCCCCAUGAAAGGACAACCUAAAAGGUAUUAUGGAAUACUACAAUUCGACCCCCAAAUAUGCUAUUCCACAACUCUAUCUGCACUGCACACAAUCAUCAUCUUCACUCUCUAUCUCUAUCUCCCUCCAUCUUAUAAACCUAAUAUGUAUACACAUCUCUGCUUAGAUAUACAUAUAUAUAUAUAUUAUUUCAUGAUAUCCCAUUUCAAACAAUUUCCUUUAACUCCUACCAAAUCGCUUCUGAGGUUAAUCAUUUUCAAGUUCACAAUAGUAAAGACACAACAACUACAUGUAUAAACUAUAUGAAUAUAUAUAUAUAUAUAAAUGACAUUAGAUAUAUACGUGAUCAACCGUGUUUCUUUCAUGCCUAGAAUUUGGAUUAGAAUUCAAAAUUCGGAUUUGGCAAAUGACAAACACUUUGGUAUUUUUCAUGCAUUCCCCUACGAUUUAUACUUGUUUUAAAAGUAAAAAUUGUCUCUACAAACCAACACAUAUGGAUCACUUCAACAUGAUUUAAUUUGUCAUAGUGAAAAAUCUUCAAAUAUACUAUUACUCUAAGCUAAGCUUGCUUGAUUAACUUGAGGACCGCUAAAGUUAAACUAUACACUUCCUUGAUAUCUAUCUUAGAUUAGCCGACUUUCAAUUUUUUAAAGAUUUUAUUAAUCAUACCUUUCAUGAAAUGAAAUCCAUAUUAUUAUAGUUUGAAUGUUAGGUCUCUGUCUUAGAUUUAAAUUUAGGAUGUUUACACAAACCAUUAGCACUUUUGUAUCUAAUCCAAUCAAGUAUGUGGAAAUUUUGGAUUGAAGAAUUAUUUAAUUGACACUUAUGAAAAAUAUGAUUAGAUCAGAGGCAUGAAAAAUCUUUAAAAGGUAUGAGAUUGGGUGAAUACUCUACAAGGGGGGAAAUAAAAACUAUGGUGUGUGGAUAGAUAUGGGAAUGCAUGCAUCAUCUUAGCCUUAGCCCUAGCUCUUAAUUGUGGCCAAAAGACAAUAAAUUUAGCUACGACAACGCAAUGGACAGAGUGCUGACAUCUUCUCUUUUCUUUUUUCAUCUUUGUCCCCACAAAAAACACAGCCAACAAAAACAUCCCCUCCUUUCUCAGAGAUUAGGGUUUUCUCUUUAUAUAUAUAUAUAUAAAUAUCACUAUUUUUACUCAUAAAGAAAAGAAAUCACUAGAAAAGAACAA